rnacentral:lncRNA from 1 species
GGCCUUUUGGCUAAGAUCAAGUGUAGUAUCUGUUCUUAUCAGUUUAAUAUCUGAUAUGUGAGCCAUUGGCUCACACGAUAUUAAAUUUAUUUUUUGAGGGGGAGGUCCCGUCACAAUAGCUUGCUAUUGGGGGCUUCGUGAGUCGCCUAAGCGUUGCACUACAGCUUUGGCCUGGCUCACCCCACCAAAUCAUAAUCAAAAUUUUUACUGUACUGGGCAAUGAUUCCGAUUAAUGUAUGUAGUGAGACUCAAACAAGUGGUUCCAAUUAUGAGUGAAGAUUGUUCCUGGCCUCUCUCUCUCCAAAAAGGGCUUUUGCUUCUAACAGAACAAAUACAUGGAUGACCAAUCUUUAUAAUUAUUAUAGUAGUAUGAUGUUUAAUGACAAAGGUAUUUAAAUGACAUUUGUGGCAAACCGAGGAUAAUAGACCAUAGUGUGUGUUCAUAUGUCACACCAGCAAAAAGCCAAGCAACACUGCUGAGGGGCAUUUGCAUACUCACGGUCACCAAGGUUCUGAUCUCAUUUUCCAGGUCAUCAAAGUUCUCUUUUCGUGGGUGGAGAGGCUGGUGCCUCGUGAAUGGAUAUUUGAUAGAACAGCAUGCAUUAAGGAUGUAUUCUACUGUAAGGAGAUGUUCACCAUCCCACAUCGCCUAGAUUAAAUGAAACAUAAGUUUUUAUGUAGUUGAGCUUCCUGCAAUAUGCUUGUCCCUUCGGGGACAUCCGAUAAAAUUGGAACGAUACAGAGAAGAUUAGCAUGGCCCCUGCGCAAGGAUGACACGCACAAAUCGAGAAAUGGUCCAAAUUUUUUUAAAGAUAUUUUGAGUUUCUUACGAACUAUUUUGCUACCGAGUUUUGAAAGAUAUUUUGAGUUUCUUACGAACUAUUUUGCUACCGAGUUUUGAAAGAUAUUUUGAGUUUCUUACGAACUAUUUUGCUACCGAGUUUUGAAAGAUAUUUUGAGUUUCUUACGAACUAUUUUGCUACCGAGUUUUGAAGCCAGAGUGUAGUAGAUAAAUGGUCCAAAUUUUUUUGCGAGUGUAGUAGAUAAAUGGUCCAAUUUUUUUUGCAAUUUUACCUAGUACUAGUUGUUUGCUAUCAAGAUCCACAUUCCAACUAUUUACACAAAACGAAAUAAGAGCAUUGGCCUGGCUCACCCCACCAAAUUUAGUCCCUAAUGUAUUCAUGUGUGAUGUCUGGAUAUUUAUGCUUGGUUUAUUCCAUGGAAAAUGUAAUCCUGUACAAGGAUGAUAUUUAUUUGCUUUUUAGCUGUAACCAAUUGUCAAUAGGAUAUCAUUAACAGAGAUGAACCUUAAAAUCUACUCACGGGCAAGACAAUAGAAUGCUGUGAAGAGCAAGUGGUGCAUCCUAGAAGAAUUAAGGAACCCACAUCGGAAGAGGAAAGAAGUACACCAGAAUGCACUUGUAUAAAAACCAACUGUCUGUCUAGAGAAUAGAGCACGCAGCCAUGUGAUGAGCACAAAGCGAACUAUUCUUUCGCCUUUUACUAAAGAAUACCGUGUGCUCGUCACUCACAGUGGCAUACGCCCAUUUUUGGAGGGUUUGUCCUUUUGGAUCAACCCCUACAAUUCCAGUUAAAGUGUUUGGUCUUUGUCAUGUAUUCUGCUAAGAGCAUGUUUUGCCUGUUUUCAUAGUUGUCUUGUACCGGAUUUGCUACGCAAGUGUUGAAGCCACAGAUUUUGAAAAAUCUUCCAAGACUAUCGUACUAUAGAAAAUAAAUAUGUAUUUGAGCUUGGUCUUUCUUGAGUUGGUAUUCCUGCAAAUUGCUGUGAUUUUGAUGCUGAAACCUUUUUAUUUUAAUUUAAAAAAUUUGAAUGCUAAAACUUUGGCAUGAUAAAGUCAGUUCUUGUUUAUAUUUAUUUCUGAUAUUUUUGUAGUCUCAAGCACUUAAAUUUUUGCAUAAUCAAACAAAAUUAUUGCAUGUUCGCUGGAAAAUGUUCAGCGGCUAACUAACAAGUGGGAUUAAUACAAAUGAUACAAUGGGGAUAAAAAUAUGUUAUAGUGAAAAAUUUAGUGUGUGCAUAAUCCCUCUAGUUAAUUACUGAAGUUAGAAGAACAGAUCAUGAAAUAAAAUUUUAGUCGGAAUGUGUAGUUGAAAGUAGAUAUAUAAGUUAUUCUGAAAAAAUACAGCAUUAAAAAGCCAAUGGGAUGUGAAUGUUUUGUUUUUCAAGUGAGUUGUUUUCGUCCCACAUCGUAUCCAUAUAAACAAUCCCGACUUGUGUAGUACAUAUAAACCACGCUGGCCAUUGGGUAAAAGCAUACCUUUCUCGGCCUUUUGGCUAAGAUCAAGUGUAGUAUCUGUUCUUAUCAGUUUAAUAUCUGAUAUGUGGGCCAUUGGCUCACACGAUAUUAAAUUUAUUUUUUGAGGGGGAAGUCCCGUCUCAAUAGCUUGCUAUUGGGGGCUUCGCGAGUCGCCUAAGCGCUGCACUACAGCUUUGGCCUGGCUCACCCCACCAAAUCAGUGUCUAAAUGUUGUAACCUACUCCUUAAGUAUCUAAAGUGAGGGGAGUUACAUAUGCUGAAUAAUUAUGUUGGAUUUUUUUUUUGACUAAACAUUACAAAUUAUCUACUCAUAAUUUCUAAAAUCUGAAAGUUGCAUAUUAAAAUAGACUAAAUAUACUUUUCUAAUGAUAUAAUUAUCAUUAUUUUUCUCAAUUAUCCAAUACAUGUAAAGUUUAAAAAUCAAAAUAGACAUGUAAAAGGGGACGGAGGGAGUAACAAACGCAUGACCCAUUCAGUCAAACGACCAUCCUAAAUGUAUUUAUUAGAGUAACAUGAUGUUUAAUUACAGGGGAAAGACAUUUAAAUGACAUUUGUGGCAUCCCGAGAACGAUAGGCCAUAGUUUGUGGUACCCAAAUGUCACACCAGCAAAAAGCCAAGCAUCACUCCUGUGGGCAAAUGCAUACUCACUGGUCACCAAGGUUCUGAUCUCAUUUUCCAGGUCAUCAAAGUUUUUUUUUCCCGUGGGUGGAGAGGGUGUGCCUCGUGAAAGGAUAUUUUAUAGAACAGGAUGCAUUGAGGAUAUUUCCCGUAGGUGGUUUUGCAGGAGUUUGACAGACUCUAGUUUACUUUAUACAUUGAAUAUUAAUUAGUUUCUUGCAUUUACAAUGAAUUUGAGUGUAACCAUUCCUAAUAUAUUUCAUUUCUUUAGCUAUGAUCUAUUUCUGGAGUUAAUUUACUCCCUCCGUCCCACCCAUUUCUUAUCGAAUGGGUAGUGGAAAAGAGAAAGAAAAGUGGGUAAAAUGGUGGGACUCAUUGAUUUUUAAUGUAUAAAAAGAAGAUAGUGAGGUAAAAGUAGUGUGAAAAGGAAAGAAAAAUGAAUAAGUGGCGGGACCCAUUGACUAUUUUUGGUAAGUUUUGAAAUGUAAAGAAUUGGGUGGGACACCCAAAAAGGAAAGUGUAAAGAAAUGGAUGGGACGGAGGGAGUACGAGAUAUUAUAGUGGACGGAUGUAUUGAAUCUCAAGCGCAACCGUUUAUUCUAAAUAAAAAUCAUGCAUUUAAAAUAUGCUAAUAUUGUUUCAUGCAUUUAAAAUAUGGCAAAUAUAGUUUGAAGUUAUGUUUGAAAUGUUCUGAUAUAUCUUACAAUACACAUGCAUUAAUGAAGCAACCGUUUAUUUUAGAAGAAAAUGGUGAGCACAAAGCCAAUUAUUCUUUCGUCUUUAUAUCAUGAAUGUGUUAUUUUGAAAGAGAUGUAUUUUUGUAUGUUUUCUUUCCGCUAAUUGUAUUUGUACACGUUAUAAUAUAAAUUUGAAAAUUAAUAUCUUAAAGAUGAAGAAAAGCACCGGUUGCUAUGUGAUUGAUGUAAUGUUAAAGUUAAUAAAAAAGUAGCAUGUAUAAGUGAAAUAUUAUUAUUUUUGGUUUGUAAGGAUAUAAGUGAAUUAUUAAAUCUGAAACAUAAUUACAAUAGCAAAAUCAUAUGGCAUAAAAUUCAAAGCAAAACAAAGGAAAUAAUUAUAGAUGCUCUUGGGUUUGGUGAUUGUGAGAAACGUCCCACAUCGAUAUAAAGCUGUUACAAAUACUUGUCCUGGGGUAUUAAGAUGGAGAUGCUGCCAGCCUUAGAACAUACUUACCUGGAUGGGGUCAAUGGGUGAUCAAGAAGGCCCAUGGCCUAGGUUAGUGACCUCCAUUGCACUCAGGAGGGGUGCUCGCCUAAGGUCUACCCAACUGGUGGAGCCUACAUCAUAAUUUGUGACAGGGGGACUUGCGUUCGCGCAGUCCCCACAAUUUUAGUCUGAAAGAAUAUCCGUAAACAGAAUAUCAACUGCUGAAAAGGGAUUAUAGAGUUUGUGCCUGUACCCACUUGUUUUCAAAACUAGAAACGCGAGAGACUUUAUCUGUAUUUUUUAGAUUUUAGAUACACUAAGUUAUACCACAUCGAGAGACUUAAGUUAUACUACAUCGUAAACAAUGUUUUUUGUAGACCGUUUGAUAUACCUAGAUUUGCAGCUUGGUAUGAUUUUACUGAGGGAUGAAUUUAUUUAUACGGGAUGCAAUAAUAAACUAUUCAAUAGAUUUGCAAGGAUAUUCGAUCUCACGGAAUCGACCAAACUUUUUCAUGUAGAUAGAAAUUAUUGGUUUGAAUGAGUCUGAGCCAAGAUCCAACAAAAAAUAGUACGGAUCGGUUUCUAUGCAAGGGAUGAAAUUUUUGAUGGUACCUCAACAAUAUUACAUUUCUUUUUUGAGGGGAAGGUCGCCUCACAAUAGCUUUGCUGUGGGGGAUUCACGAGUCGCCUCAGUGUUGCAAUACAGCUUUGGCCUUUUUCACAUUUACCAAAUCAAACUAAAGUCUGUUCUUUGAGAAUUAAGAGACUUCUUUGGAUAACAAGCCACUAUAUGUUCUCCCCAAAUGUUACGGCUGCAAUUGACCUGGCUCACAAUGUCGUUUGCAUGAAUCAAAGAUACAUGGUAGAUAAAUUCUAAUGAACAAUGGUUUAUCAAAUGUGGAUAUACUUUGGAGGAACUCUGGUCAACUUUGAUGUCAUUUCAUCCUAAGAUAAUUUUUUGACGUGGGCAGAAAAAAAUUAGAGAAGAACAUAAGUUAGAACAAAUCCUCAUCCUAGUAGGCAAAGAUAUACCACAUUGUAAGGGGAAAAAGCAUAUAUCUUGUUUAGAAAUGUGCCAAACUAGGCUUUGGCGGCCGGGUCUCUAGCGAAGGCCUGUAACUCAUGCGAGGGCUUUAAGAUGGUUGAAGACUGAAUUGUUUCAGAGGGUUGGUCAAUGUUUGGAGUACUUAUCUGGCUUGCCCAAUCCAAGUAGGGAGUUGGGUCAUGGACCAUCGGCCCAGGCCUUCUGUUCCUGGUCUUUAGAGAGGACGGCACCGUGUGAGGCUGGUUUCACAGAGCAGCAAGCACCUCCCGCUCCUGUCGGUGGAAGGAUCACAAGCCAGUUCUCCACUUGGCCAUCAAUACCUGAUGAACCAUUCAUCCAAACAACCAUUUUUUUUGGCACUGUGAGGAGCACAUUGAAUUUUUUAGAGGCAUUUUUCCAGAAUUUUUCUUUUUAGCUGGUACUUCAUUUCGAAGUCCCACAGAUAUAUGAUUUAAUAUAAAAUGCUUUCUCUUUUAAUGGAUUAUUAUUUCGUUCAUCAAGUACUUAAGUUUCAGUUGGUCCUUAUAACCAAUCACAAGCGCGUUUAGCGAAGGAAGUAGCAGCCCUCUCUUGCAAAAAUACAUGCUUCAUCUGUAAGUUUUAAGUACUUUUCUACAUCUAUUCAAAAAAUAUGUUGUGAUAUGCAAGUAUUGGGAUGAAAGAGCAAGCAGCAAGCUCUGUCAGUAAAGCAGGAAGCAGCACGGCUAACUAAUUAUAUAGAAAACUUGUUGAGGGUGAAAAUUUUGAAUGUCACUGUAUUGAUGCAUCAUAAACAUAUCUAUUGGAUACAGUAUACAUUGGUAUUGUCCUAUCAAAAUAAGCAACUACACAACAAGAGUUAAAAGUUGGAAAAUAUAAAUAUUUCAGAAGUCCAUGUAAACGACUCCCUCUAUGGUUGAAUGCUGUCUGUGUCAAGAAUCUCCGUGUUUGUGCCAGCAAACCAACAUUGUGAUGCAACGCUUCACAAUAUAAAACUUGGCCUUUUGUUCCCUUGCCAAGCUACUACAUUUCCUUGUAAAGUUAGCACAUUUUUGAGAAGUGCUUCUUUCUAUUGAUGACUUUCUACUUGCAGAAGUGCAUUUCUGCGAACAACUCCUUGAUAACUUUGAGUUCUUCUGCGAAAGACUUCUUAGUAGAGGAGAUUUCGAAGUAGAACUCCUCUGGGAAAUACUUCUCAUUAGUGAAGAUUUUAGUGAAGAUGAGGUGGAAGACUUAUAGGAAUGGCUACUUGAAGAGUCAUAGUAGUUCUUGCGAAGCUUGGACUUCUCAUCCAUGAAAUACUCCAUGGCAGAGAGAGGUAUGCUUAGUGUUUGGAAAUCAGUAGAGUGAAAACUGAGGUGAAUAUGGUCGGUUGAAACAUAGUAUUUAUAAUGGUGUAAUUAUUCAAGAGAAUUGGUCUCGGCCCCUCUUGCAUUGUGAGUGCUCACUAGAGUCUGAUUUGAUUGCUCGUUAUUAAUAGACGUUCUAGAUGGAAAAGUUCUUUUUUUUUUUUAAUUACAAGACAUUCUAAUAAUUUAAAUACAAGAUUGGAAUUUUAUUUUCCUAAAUGCCCUCGUACUUUAUCCUGAUUUAUUAAACGUUCAGCUGUAUUUAUCAUAGGUAUGUAAAUUCAGUAAGACCAAAAAUGUAGAUAAUGCUCAUAUUAAAUAUAUAUUCAAUUUUAACCAAUUAAUCCUUUAAUUAAAAAUUGCCGUGAGGGGAUGUUGAGGAGUGUUGUAUGAUUAAAGAAUGGCAGUGGCAGCGCUGCAUGUGGAUGCCUAUGACGACUAACUGUCCACCCUUUGUCUCAUUUCUUACAUAAUUUACAUCUCAAAAUCAGGCUCCCGUUUUCAGACAAAAUCUUCGAGUUGGAAACUCGUGGAAAAGGCCACGCAAGUAUUCAAAUUUCUGAAAUUGACGAGAAGCGAAAUACUCCCUCCGUCUCAAAAUAGCUGUCACAUUUGGUUUUGUGCCGGUCAAAUUGACUAAAGUUUGACUGAAAUUUAUUAAUAUUUUAUUAAUUGACAAAAUAAAAAAAAAAAUUCCACUGGAAAUAACUUUUAAUCUACUUUAAGAUGUAAUUUUCAGUUUUUUAAAAUAAUGAGUGAUUGACUUAUAAUUUUUGGUCAAAACUUAGUCAAUUUAACCAACAAAAAUAGAAACGGUUUUUCUAUGGUGUGCCCAUGGGCACACACUAAGCACUGAACUUUAUGAGUUUGGAUGAUUUCUAUUGGCCUAACUUCUUUAAUAAUGGUGGACCCCCCUGCAAUUACAACAACCACACCAAUCAAAACCCUCCAAUUCUAUAAAUGUUAGUGCUUAGCAUGUGCCCAUGGGCACACACUGGACAAACCCAAAUAGAAAUAUGACAACUAUUUUGGGAUGGAGGGAGUAGUAUUGAAAAAGCUAAAGGGUUAUGCAAGGGGUGUACCAUCUUGUUGAUGGGUUUUAUCUUUUGAUACUUCUUAGGUAUGUCGAUUAUUAUCUUGAUUGUUGAACCACCGUGUGGAGAUCCAUGAAAUGCUUAUAAAGAUGCGAUGUUGAAUGUGAUCUUACCGUUUUAGUCUAUAUUUUAUAGUACCAUCUUCUGGUGUUUCAUCACACGCUUUCACAUGAGAUAUUCCCCGAAGAAAAUAGAUAGAAAAUGUGGUUGCGCUCAAUAUAUUUAUGUAGUGCUCACUAAUUUACUAUAUCCACCCAUAUUUGUACUAGGUCGGUGGUAAUUGUACAUCUUCCAGGUGCAUUCAAUAUUUCAAUUCAUUAAAUUUUUUGACGAAAAUAUAAUUAUACACGAAUUAUUUAUGAAAACCCGAUUCCAGCUAUUUUCCGACCGGAAACCAGCACAAAAUGUCAGACUUAGUUUUAAAUAAGUGGGCACACGCACGUAUUUGCAGGCAUGGUGAGAACACUGAGAAAUCAAAGGCUCAUAGAUAUGGGCUGACAACUACUAAAACAAAAGGUCUGGGUUUCAUACUGCUCAACCCAGUCUUGUGCCCGUGCAACUCUGGAGACCAUCUUCGCAUUUGUCUAAAUUCUUGCUCCUCUUUAUAUUUUCAAGGUGGGAAUCAAACAGAAUCACCGAGUAUUCGAAAACGGGACCACACGAUUGAGCCUUCACUGAUUUUUGUUAUUUUUAUAAACUAGUGGUUAGUGUUUGCUGUUUGUACGUGUACAUCUCUUAAUUUCUUUGACUCGCGUGUGGGUUCUUAAAUUCAUUGGAGAAGAGGAGGACUGUGAGUAAACACAGAUCAGUUGAGAUCUCAACUACUACUGUACCAUUGCCACUGUCUCAUGCAAAGGGAUCCUAUGGGUAAGAUUUGACCAUCUUCGAUUUCAAAACUUUUAUAUUCAAUUUCCGUGACUGAGAUUUUUAUUUAUUGUAUGCAGACAGAAGAAAUAAGAUUCACGUGCACAUGACCCCUGUGCUACCCCCACCUCAUCACCAAAAAUUGUAUUUUUGUUACUACAAAAUCAGUCUUUCUUUUUCCUGAAAAGAAAUUUUUUAAAAAAUAUAUCAAGAAACAAGCGAUUAUGCGUCCAAAUGUACAUGAAAGGAACUCAAGUUAUGUAAGUAUGUAUGUGCAGUGGCGGAGACACGUUGGGCCCAGGACCUGCCUGGGCGCUGGGCCCCCUGACAUUUUUAUAAAUACAUGUUAUAUAAUCUGUAAUCACAUGUUUUAUGUAGAUCAAGUGGCAUGGUGUAGCAGUCCAGAGACCAAUGUUCGAUUCUGUUUUUGACCCUCUUGGUUAUAAACUCUGGCUUUGCCACUGUGCCACUGUGUAUGUGCACAGCUUGUUUGCAAUAUGAAAAACUGAAUUUAAACAAAUCAAUAUAUUAAUUAAUUGAGUUUCACAUCUUACCAGAGAAGGAGUCCCCAAUUCGAUAUGUUCACCAUGAUUUGAUACAAAUUACAACAUGGUGAUUAGCCGCCUGAAAAUCCAAGUAAUCUGCAGCCCAUGCAAGUACAUUUUGUGAUUUCAAUACUUCUAGAAUUCACAACUUCGGCAUUCCCACAAUAUCAGAUUUGUCACACUACCGCACCAAGAAAGAUUCAAAGCAAUUUAUUUUGCAAAUAAAGCUCUCAUUCAAUGAUAAGGAGAGACAUGGUUAUUGACAGGGCCGUCUGGGACAUUUUUGAGGCCCUGUGCUGACUUUAAGAAUGAAACCCUUCCAAAUGACAAAACAAAAUUUUAAUAUAUUUAAAAUAACAUAUCAUAAACAAAAUUAGACUAUUACAACUGGAAAAUUGUUUUUUUUAAGUAGUUAGACUUAAAUAUGUGUGUGAUGUGUGUGGCCGUGUGGGAUUUACUGUUUGUGCAGUCUACUAGUUUGUGAGGAGAGAGAAGGAAUAAGAAUAAGAAAAGACGUGCAUGGCUGGGUCUUGGGAGUUGAGAAUUGAUUAGUGUUUAAAUAAAAUAAUGGUAAAAAUUAAAGAGAUAUUAAUAUUAUAUUAUAUUUAUUAUGAGUGUACCAAAAGAUAGAAAGAAAUAGUAAUAAAUUGGGGGUCCUAAAUUUUCAUGGGCCCUGUGCUGGUGCACUUGUUGCACUUCUUCAAAACCGGCCUGGUUAUUGAGAAUCUUCGAACAUAUCGUUGUAAUAGUACUACUCCGAGUGACAGCCCAGAUUUUUGAUAAACGCAGACCAUCUUUUUUAGGGGCUUUAUAAAAGGAUUCAUAUCAUGAUCGUUGUCUUCCAAAAUUUCUGAUAAAUGAGUGCAGACCAUCUAUUCUCAGGAGUUCAGAUGGAUUCAUGAGCCAUACAUUUUCAAAGCUUCUAACCGUAAAUUUAGCUUUAAAGGAAGCCUACUCAUAUGAGGAGAAUAACAUUGCCGAAUCAACAGAAAGAAGAUCAUAUAAUUAAGAUCCAGUUUGCUCAAGCUUAAAUCAGAUUUUAAGUCAUUUUCGACCUCAAAUCGAAAAAUAUAUGUUCAUAUAUUAGGUAGAAGUCGACUUAAUUAGAAAUAAGCCAUAAAUUUACUUAAAAAAUAUAAGUUUGAGUUAAUUUUUCCGAUGAAUUAAGUUUUUUAAAUUUUUUUGAUACAAAUUAUGCAUGAGUCAUAAAUUACGCAUAAAUCACAUAUUUUUAAUAAUUCAUAAAUCAUUAAUAAGCUUCAGAUUAUCACAUUAAAUAUCAUAAAUCAUAAUUUAAAUUCAGUCAAAUUAAUAUAUAAAAACCUAAGGUGAAUAAUAUCUGUAAAUAAUUUGAAAUAAUAAAUUUAUUUUAUUAUAUUCUGGCAGAGCAGCACGUGUCUUCUUCGUUCGAAGAUAAAGAAAAUUUUCUUUCUUAAGAAUCAGUUUAUUUUGAAGUUCCAGCUCAAUUAAAAUGGAACUUUAAGUUUUUUAAAGUUUCAAUGUUUUGAUUUCAAAAAAAAAAGUUUCAAUGUUUUGAAUGCCGCUAAAUCUUAUUCACCGAAACUUAUAAGUUUCGGGAAAGUACUACCUCCAUCCCAAAUUAGAUGUUCCUGUUGACUUCGGGCAUGUAACUUUAGGUGCAUUGACCGUUUACUUCCGAAAUUUAUUUUUUUAUAAAUGAAAAUUUUAUAUUUUAAUUUUUAUUUGCAAAAAUAAAAUUUUAAAAAUAAGUCACGUAUCUAUGCGGUCAAUGAACCUUAAAUUGUGUGCCCAAAAUUAACGGGAUCAUCUAAUUUGAGAUGGAGGGAGUAUAAGUUUAUAAGUUUGUUCGAAGAGAUAAUUAGGGGACCGGCAGGCGGCAACAUUGAGUACUUUGCUCAAUUUAAAUACACAUAACUAAACACCUAAACUUAUUUAAGUUCCAGAAAAGUACUCUUUCCGUUUCAAUUUAUAUGUCCACUUUCAAGAAAAUUUUUUGUUUCAAAUUACUUAUCCAAUUCAACUUUUAAUGCAAUUAAUUGGUGAACAUCCAUUUUUCUUAAAAUAUGUGAAUUUUUUAAAGUGGACAUCUAAUUUGAAACAGAGGAAACGGAGGGAGUAUAAGUUAGAGCGGGAAGUCUAAGUUAAAGCAAUAGUUUAAAACGUAAUAAACAUGUUAGAAAGUAGCGAGAACAAAAGUUUUCCUUAAAAAAAAAUUAGAACGAAGGGAACAUUAAUAGGUGAACUAAAACUACAUACGCAUAGACAUCACUACAUGAUAAUCAGAAACUCUAAAUUAACACUACAUCUGUACAUCAUGUAUACUACAACUAAUCACUAAACAAGAAGGUAUACACAUUCCCAUUUAAUCAGUUGUUGAACACUGUCCUGCCGGCGCUGGCUAUCGCCAGAAAAAGGUCAAGAUCCGGAGAUUUAAAAUACCCAUUUUUCGGUGGGCCCCUUGCUGCUUCACCGGCGUACUUCUUCUUCUUUGGUGGCGGCGGACACACUAGUCUCGCCGGAGUUAGACAGUGUUUGGGCGUCGCACAACCAUCUUCGUCCGCCGCCAUAAAUCUCUCCUGCUCAGCUUCUCUUUGCAUCUCUUCUACUACGUACUAUAUGCAAACUAUAUAUAUACUAGUAUGUUUUUAUAUCUUUGCUUUUGUGGAAGACAAGUGAAGGCUCUCGGUGAUUUAAAUAAUGCAAAACAUAAGGAUGAUAAUACGAGUGCUGAAAGUGCAAUGGAGAUGCUUCCGGAAGGUACUUGUUAGGGUUUAAAAUUGUACACGUGUGGCUACGAGGUUCAUGUAGGUUGUCGACUCGACACGUGGGUGUGUUAUAGACCAUAAGUAGAAAGCUCUAAUUUGAUGUAGUCACACUGAUUUACAGUACAUAUUUCUUUUUACUUUAAUUGAGCCAAGCGGAGUGCUUUUCAGUUUUCACUUGUCACUCUUGUGAUACUGAAUAUAAUGAUAUUGUGGGCCUGGCCCAACCUUCAGUGUCCCUAAUGUCCAUAAAGGAUAUGAAAUACUCCCGCCCGAUAUCAAAUAUAUGCAUAAAAUUGUCUGGCCAGCCAUAUAAGAAGAUAAACCAAUAGGGCCGGUAAAUAUUCGAGUUUGCCAAUAAUUUUUGCUGAAUACUGUAGAAUAAAGUAAUAGAUAUUAAAUGGUUAAAGUUCCACGAGAUUUAGUCAUUAUUUUGGAGUUCAGUAUUGUUUGAAAGAUGUGCUCGAACAAAUUAAAAGGCAAAAUAUCAUUAGUUGAAUAUUUUGGAGUUGAGAACUUCUCCCCCAUAACAAGAGUUGUUUUGACGUGUGACACGUAAUUUGGGUUUUAAAAACAUACACUUCUACAUAUUGUUUUUCAAAUUUUCUUUCUCUGAAUAAAAAUAUAGAUGUUCAACUUUUAUUUGAAAAAAAAAAAUUAAAAAAAUAAUAUGUACAAGUAUGUUUUUUGUACACCUCAAAUUACGUGUAAAAAAUUAAAGCGACACUUAUUAUGUGACAAAGAGAGUAUUAUUUAAAAGAUUUGCUAAAAACCAAAAGGCAAAGAUUUGCCGGUUGGUUAUAUAUGUUAUUUUAAAUGAGAACUCAACAAUUAACCUAGUAAUUUCUUAAUUUUAUAAAAUCGAAUUUAAAAUUUAUUAAUAAAGAUAUAAAAGGAAUAAGGUCGGAAACGUGAGCUCGUGGGUUUACCCAGUGCGCACCCAAAUAAUAACGGCCACGGGUUCCUACGCUAAAAAAAAUAAAAAAAAAUGUUAUCAUAAAAAAUAAAAUGAAAAUUAGUUAACUAUUACUCCUUCUGUCCCACCAGCUUCAUUACGUUAUUUUUUAACACGCAUUUAAGUCUCCUAUAAAAUAUACUUGCAUAAUAUAUAUAUAUAUAUAUAUAUAUAUAUAUAUAUAUAUAUUUCUAAAAAUUCCUAAAAAAAAGGUUUGACGUUUAAGUUUUUAUUAAAAAAAGAAAAUUUGAAAAAAUGUCAUAUAACACUACUUUAUGUAAGUUAUUUGUUGGGACCGAAGUAGUACCUAUAUAAAUGAGUAACGAAUGGAAGAUCUUAAUUUUUCAGGAAUAUCAAUAUUUUUCUGAAAUGACAUUUUGUAUCGUAUUUCUUGAAAAAAAAUAUUAUAUUUUAGGAUAUCGUAUAAUUAAUUUGUUGAAGAUCUAACAUAAUUUUGUUAUCUUAGGUUAAAAAAAAAAAUUAAAUUACGAUAUUCAACAUGUAUGCUGUCAUCCUUCUAGACUAAUUUGACAUUUGAUAUUCAUCUCUAUAUUCUUUUUCAAUGAUAAACAAACAAGUGUCUGAUCCUCCUCGAUCAUCCUUCUUGAGGGGAUUUUGACAUUUUAUAUUUAUACAUGUUUUACUUUUGAUUUGAAUGUUAAAUUAGUUGAAUUCAAAAUAACAACACUUAGGUAAUAUUUGAGACAUUUGAUAUUCAUAUACAUUUUACUUUUCAAUGAUCAACUAAUCGAAAGGAACCGAGUAGAACUCCACUCAUCACUUGUAUCAAAUCAUCUAUGGAGUUCGUGAUAUCAUAUUGAUAAUCAAUACAUUUAAAAUUUUAUGAUAUUUGAGGAGGGGGCCGAAUGAAACUUAUAUGUGUUAUAUUUCAAUAAUAACUAGCCACGAUUUUGAGAAGAAUUUGAGUACGUUAUUUACAAGAUUGUUUACUGGCUAUAUAUGUUCAUCAUAAAGAGAUCCGGAUCAGUGAUCGUUGCUGUCGGGAACUUAUAAUAGUGCAUGUGUCUGAAUAUCUCGACUCUGCUGCUCUUUCUGGAGCUCCUCACACACAGCUUUCAAACAAACUGCAUCAAUCUUUUUUUCACAGAGAAUCGUUGCAUUAUUCCUGCAUACACAUCCUGACAUCUCCUACUACCAUCAACUGUCACCGCCCCGCAUUCAUUAUCAAAUGCUUUCAACUACCAUUUCUUCUCUUUUGGGAAGCCAUGUCGCUCGCUAGGAGAUUCACUCCUAGCACACGUCUUGGAGAAUAUAGUUCCAGUUCACACGUGGACGACUCUGAUCUCUCUACGUCGACCUCGAUCAUUUUUGAAAUUGUCAAUGUGAAGAUUUUCUGUAGGAUUGCAAUAAUAUAUGGGCAGUCGAGGAAAAGAUUUGGUCUUGUUUUCUCCAGGGACACGCGUCCAACUCUGCGCUCUGACAGAUAUCUGCUGCGACUUUUUAAAAUUUUAAAUUAUUAUAUGAAGAAGAUAUUUUCAUUAUUUUCCGAUAAAAUAAACAGUAGAUAUUUCACUUGAGUCACAACUCACAAAGUUUUUUUAAUACAACAAUCACAGUUGUAAAUAAUAAAAUUAGGACGAAUCAACCGAUAAGUUUUGCACUUGUGAUUAUAAAUUAAAGGUAAUUGCAUAUCGCACCCCGUAUGUAUCGUUCAAAAACGAUAGGGUACUUAUACUUUAAGAAACUCAGCUCGCACCCUUUAUCUUUACUUCUCAAAACCGAGAUGCACCCCCUGCCGUUAACUUCCGUUAACUCCGUUAAGUCACUAUAUAUAUAAUUGCAAUUUGGACCUCCUAACUUAUGUUCAAAACGAUAUUGUACCCAUAUUUUUGAAAACUCGAAUCGCACCACCUAUUUUUACAUCUCAGGAACGAUACGCACCCCCUCCGUUGAAUUCUGUUACCUUCCGUUAAAAUACGCAUCCUUCUCAAUUUACAUGUCUCUUUUGCUUUUUGAGAAGUUAAAUUGACUAAUUUUUGACCAACUAUUUGAAAAUAUGUAUUUAUUAAAAUAGACUAGAUUUAAUUUUUGAUGAUAUUUUUUCAAAAAGAAUUUGAUCAAUUUUUCAAAACAAAAUAAUUAAAAUUUAUAUAUUUUAAUCAAUAGAUAAAUUGAUGUAUUAUUUAUAAUAAAUAUCACAUAAUAUUUAUUUUUAUAUUUAAAAUAGUGUAUAUUUUAAGUACCUAAUACAUAUGUCACUAAAAAUUGUAAAAUCAUUUUGACUUGGGCAUAACUUAAUUAAACAAAAAUAUAAAAAAAAUAUCAUCAAAAACUUAAUUCAGUCUAUUUGUUUUCGCAAAUAAUAGAGGGUCCGAAUUUCGAAAAUAAUAGAGGUAACUGCAGUUCGGACCCUCUAUUAUUUACCUCUAUUAAAAUAGGCUAGAUUUACUUUUUGAUGAUAUUUUUUUUAAAACAAAAUUUAGUAUAUUUUAAUAUGUAACUUUCUAUUUCCUAAAAUAAUAAAUAAAUAUUUUUUUAAUAGUUGGUCAAAAAUUAGUCAAUCUGACUUCUCAAAAAGCAAAAGGGACAUGUAAAUUGAGACGGAUGAGUAUUUUAACGGAAAGUAACAAAAUUCAACGGAGGGGGUGCGUAUCGUUCUUGAAAUGUAUAGAUAGGUGGUGCGAUUUGGGUUUCCAAAAGUACGGGUACAAUAUCAUUUUUGAACGUAAGUUAGGGGGUUCGAAUUGCAAUUAUAUAUAUAGUGACUUAAUGGAGUGCACUGAAUUAACGGAAGUUAACGUAGGGGGUGCAUCUCAGUUUUGAGAAGUAAAGAUAAGGGGUGCGAGUUGAGUUUCUUAAAAUAUAGAUAUUCUAUCGUUUUUGAACGAUACUUAAGGGGUGCGAUAUGCAAUUACCUCUAUAAAUUAUUUCAAUCUUUUUGUUUCUUCCACCAUUCUAGAGUUAUUAAUUACAAAAAAUGAAAUCCAAAUAACGGGAGUGAUCCUCUUAUAUAUUGGAUGCGAAAAAUAAUCCAAAUAGGACUAACAUCACAAUCAACUUUAUAAUACCCCUAAUUCUGUCGAAAAAAGCUUUAUAAUACUCCUUCGGCUUACAAAUGUUACAUAUACUCCUCGUCAUUUCUCAUUUGAUCUUACAUAAUAUAUUCUUAUCAGUUAGGAACAAAAUUAAGUUUGAGCAUUGCGAACGAUAGACCUCGUCUUAAUAUUUUUCUCAUAAUUUUUGUCAUAUUUGAUUAAUUCUUUUUUCAAUGUAUAAAAAUACUUACUUAUAUAAUAUGUUUUUAGAAAAAUCUUUUAAUAUAUAAAAGUUAAAAAUUCAUAUUUAAUACAUAAAAAAAUUCAAUUAUAUCAUGUAUAAAUAUUGGGGCUGUUUGGCUGGGUUUAAAAGAAGUGUCUUAUUGCUUAAAGUAAAAAAAGUGGAUUAAAAUUGAGAAGUUGGUCUGGAUUUAUAAUCUAUUAUAAGUGUUUGGAUACCGUGACUUAUAAGUUUUUAAGUGUUUGGAUAACUUAACUUAUAAGUUGGUACAGUUUCGUAGUUUUGUAAUAUUAUUAUUUGAUAUUUACGAAAUAAAUUGAGAAAAGUUGAUGAAAAUAUUAGAUUAGAUUAAUUUUUAUAUUAUAUAAAAAAAUUAUUUUUGGUUUGCUUUGUCUCACAUUUUGUUAUAAGUUAACAUUUAUUUAUUUCUUAACAUUAUAUUAAAAAUAUAAUUUAGGAUGAAUGAAAAGAUUUAACCAAACUGCGGGAUUAUUAUAAUUUAUUCAUAAUCAAUAAUUUAAAUAAGUGAAAUUAUGAUUUGAAACUAUAUAUUGUAAUUAUAGACUAAAAUGUCUCACAUUUAACUAUUUAAGGGAUCUACAAGUGUGUUUAAGUAUUUAUAUAAAUAUUAAUAUAUGAUAUUAAUAUAUUUGAGUAUCUUAUAAACUUUAAAACAAAAUUUAAAUAAAAAAAUUCUUAUAUUCAAUCAUAUUUUGGUGAAGAUAACAUGAUGUCAUAGCAGGAAUAAAAAAUAGACAAUGGGAGGAACUAAAAUAAACACAAGCUGAUGGGAAAAAAAAACCAGGUUACGGAGCUUCUUUUAUCCGACUUCUUUUACCUUUUUUAAGUACUUCAAAUCAGUAGCCAAACACCAUUAAAAAAAAAAAAAAAAAGCGGGCUUCUCGGGUUUUAAGCCCAGAAACCUGUUCCCAAACACCCGCGUUAUCUAUCAAAAUAUUGAAAUACAUGCAAAAGGAAAUGGGAAGUUACGGGAAGUUCAAACCACAAAUAUAUUAGAUUAGUUAAAUUUAACCACCUCCAACAUAUAUUUCCCUUAAAUAUGAUUUUUAGGGCAGCAUAUCAACGUCUAUUCAUCAAAAUUUUAAUUAAUGAAUAUGAUAAUGUAAUUGAAUUUUAGUUUUAUUAGCUAUAGCCUAUAGAGACGCUCUUUGAACUUAAGAUUAUAUGCGGACCAUGCAUGUCCAUCUCAUACAAAGAUGUCAACUAUCUAGUUUGAAGAAAGAUGAGCUCUAAUAAAACGCAUUUAAUUAGCUAAAGCUGAGAUCCACAGUUUCUGAUGUCCUAAUUAUAUGUCUGCACGAUUGUUAAUUUGUAGGCGAAACGAGAACAAAUACUAACCAUCUUCCACGCAUGUGACAAAUGGUGCCGCAAUUCUCACGAUUAUUGAAAAUGUGUACUUGCUAUUAUCGUUUUUUAAAUUAUCAACUGCAACGUGUCCACAAAGAAGUUAGCCAUGACAAAUAUGGCAAUGGGGUAGUGAUUGUGAAAUUGAAGUCUACUUCUAUAUUUGGGAAUUUACGGCCUCUUUCGUGUUCCUUUUUGUGAGGUUGGAUUUUUGUGUUUACUUUAUGGGGUCCUGCACCAUCCAGAGACACAUGGGCAGUCGACUAUAUAGCAGUUUUUUUGGUAGACAAAAACUUUAUAAUAAAUUGUUUUUUGCUGGUACACGAAAUAGUGUCUUUGUCCAUACGAAAUAAUUCAAAUUUAAUUAAAUUGCACGAAGAGGGAUCUCGAAGAUCAUAAAUGUUUUGUAAUUAAAAUUUUAUAAAGUUUAUAAAACAUGUUAUAUGAAUAGUAUUAUUUAAAUAUUUUUAACUAAAAGAUGAUAUUCAUAGAAAAUAAUUUAUAAAAUUAUAAAUUUUAUAAUUUUUAGUUGAUGUAUGAUAUUCGAGAUCUUGAUGAAAGAGAAAAUUCUAUACAUUAAAUUUAAUAUAUUUUAAUAAAAAAUAAUUAUCAAUCCGCUCCCCACACGAGCCGAAUCUGUAAAUAAAAUUUAUAAAGGUAGAAGAGUCGUGGAACUGUAGAAGCAUUACGUCUGUACAUCCGUUUCUUGUUUAUUUGUCUCCCAUAACACUCAUUCUCUCUAUAAAAACAACUUGUGAGUUGUAUUUGUUCCCACAUUACACCAUGCAGUCUCUCUACUUUUUUCUAGAUUCCUCUACAGCGCAAGCACCUCUUCUCAUCUGCUCUUUCUUCAUCAUAACACUGACUUUCGUGGUCCUCAAAUGGAGCUUCCUUCUUCAUCCCAGAAGCAAGAGACUUCCGCCUGGUUCUAUGGGCUGGCCUUAUAUCGGAGAAACUCUCAGGCUCUAUUCCCAGAACCCCAAUUCUUUCUUCUCCAUCCGCCACAAAAGGUGCGCUAUUUUUCACACUCCUCCGUAUACGUAGUCUAGUGGAUACUCCUCUUCCGAGCUUCCGAGUCUUGUUACAUGCAUGAGUAGGCAUGUGUAUAUCGAUAUUCAUAUCAGUGCAAUCGACUAUAUAUUUUCCUAUAAUUGCAAUGGUUUACAGCAGGAGCCUUCCUGGCCGUUGGAUCGUCGAGAUAAAAUAUUUUUCUCCUUCUCUUGGACGGCGGUAAUUUCAUGCCGACAUGGAGAGAAAAAUAUUUUAUUUAAACCUUUGGAUUAAUGACGAGAUGAUGGCCGGUUAAAAGGUUCCUGGCCACAGGAACCUUGCAGUGUUUUAGUUUAUACAGUAUAUUACCUCAUGUGCAUUUAUUCAAUCAGAAACCGCAGCUAGUGCAAUUAAUGAACUGAACCUACAAACAAUUUAACAGAACUAUGAUUCAUUAUUUUUAACCGAUUAUUUCGUGGCUUAAAGAGGGGCAACUUCCAUCUAUUACUCGGAGGUCUCGCCCGAUUCUAUAUAGUUUUUUAAUAAAAUUAUAUUUUAUAAGAGUUUUAAAAUACGUGUCAGGCCCUUCUGUACUCUUAGAUUAUCUUAGAUUAGAUGGGAUGGAGUCUCUUGUAAUUUAAGAGACUGACAAGUUGAUGCAUAUGUGCAGGUAUGGAGAUAUCUUCAAGAGCCACAUACUAGGAUGUCCUUGUGUUAUGAUUUCCAGUCCAGAAGCCGCAAAAAGAGUUUUAGUGAAUCAAUCUCAUCUCUUUAAGCCCACAUACCCUCCAAGCAAAGAGCUUUUGAUUGGACCUGAGGCCAUAUUUUUCCAUCAGGGUCCUUAUCACUCUCGCCUCAAGAAAUUGGUUCUGUCUUCGUUCCUGCCAUCUGCUCUUAAAAACGCAGUUCCGCAUAUUGAGAGCAUAGUCAUCGAUAGUCUUCGUGGCUAUAACAAUAAGACCAUUAACACCUUAGAAGAGAUGAAGAAGGUAUGCUUACACGCGAUUGUUUCCUGUGAAUUUGCUUCAUUAGAUCAAGUUUUUAACUGUGUUCUGUCAUUUACAUGUUUGUAAAUUGUAACUCUUAUAAUACACAGUAUGCUUUUGAUGUCGCCAUGAUUUCGGCAUUUGGCAACGAUAUGGAAAUUGAGAUUGAAGAAAUUAAACAAUUGUAUCAUGUCUUGGAGAGUGGUUACAAUUCCAUGCCUCUGGAUGUCCCCGGUACUCCGUUUUACAAUGCAAUGAAGGUGAAAUUAAUUAACUAAAUUUCGGAUUAUUAGAGCAUCCGAUAAUGAGUGAGAUAAAAAUGCAAGUGCUUGAAAUCUUAUAUGUCUUUUGUGUAUCCACAAUGAUAGGCAAGGAAGCUGCUGACUGGAAAGCUGAGGAAUUUGAUUCAAAAGCGAAGAGAGGGCAGGGAAAUUGGCAAUGGAGGAUUGUUGGGAGUAUUACUGGGAACUGAAGAUGAAAAGGAAAAUCUACUCACCGACUCUCAAAUAUCAGACAAUAUCAUCGGAGUGAUAUUUGCUGCUCAUGAUACCACUGCAAGUGUUUCAACAUGGCUAAUUAAGUACUUGCAUGACAACAAUGACAUUUUAGAAGCUGUUACGGUAUUUAUUUUUCUUACCUUUAUCAUAAUUGUCCAGAUAGAUGUAUAUGCUAUUUACAAAGUUAAAAGCUUAUGGUUUUGAGUUUUAAUUAAUUAAGAUAUAGAUCUUGAGACAGGAAGUUAUUUCUGUGUUAGAUAAAUGUUCUCAUAUUGCCUGGUCAGGGUUGUUUUGCUGAUCUGCAGGAAUCCUUUUCUAUGAUCACAUCCUCUUCCUGUUUCAUAUAAUAUUAUAUGUGUCUUCCUUAACUAUAUAUUGAAUCUUUCAAGCCUAAAAUAUUAAAUUACUGAUCCUGCAGGCAGAACAAGAACAAAUCCGAUGCAGAAUAUUAGAAGAGAAUCGGAAUCUCACAUGGGAGGACACUCGACUUAUGACGUAUACUAGCCGGGUAAAUAAAGCAAAAAUUGUAUUUUCUCAGCUAGACAUAUUUAUGUAGUCGUGGUAAUGUAAAAUACAUCAGCAUAUCAAAAUGAUGCAUUGUGUAUAGGUUCUUCAUACACAUAACACAUGUGUUUCAAAUUUAAACCAGUGGCAAAUAUAUGUGGGGAAAACAAUAAUAUAUAUGUCUAGAUCAUUGAUUUCAGGUGAUCCAGGAAACAUUAAGAUCAGCAAGUAUCCUAUCUUUUACAUUCAGAGAAGCCGUAGAAGAUGUGGAAUUCGAAGGCUAUUUUAUACCAAAAGGAUGGAAAGUUCUUCCUCUCUUUAGAAACAUCCAUCAUUCUGCAGCUCUCUUUCCUCAACCUCACAUAUUCGACCCUUUAAGAUUUGAGGUAAGUUGCCUAACAUUGCAUUUACAGCUGAUAUCUCAUAUUUCUGUAUGAUCACUGGAUCUUUUUCCAUCAUAUAUGUUUGGUGCACUUAAAAUAUUGUGGCUGAUUUUGACUGUUAUAUAGUGGAUAGCGGAAUCUUGUCUUUUCUCUCAUCCCUUUUCUCCGGGAAUAAACCUAAGCUGACAAAUUAAUUAUAGUUAUUACCUAACUUCUAAAAUUUUGCUGCUUCAAAUUUUUCAGGUGGCACCAAAAGCAAACAGCUACAUGCCAUUUGGAAAGGGAGUGCACUCAUGUCCAGGCAAUGAGCUUGCUAAACUCGAGAUGCUCAUCCUACUGCACCAUCUCACCACCACCUACAGGCAUGUUUGAUACCGCUUAUAUUCAGUACUAAUAUAAAUCUGUGUGCGUGUGUGUGUGUUAAAGAUAUGUAGCCUCUACAUGUGGCAGUCAUCCGUUAUUGAAAAAACUAUUCAUAUUAAAUCUGUGAAGACAAAAACAAGCAUUCCGAAAGAUUUUUUGCACUAGAUCAUCAGAAGUAAUCUACUUUCCGUUCUAGUUUAUGUCUACAUUACUGAUAUAUUCUGAUAUGGUGGUGAUAUUUGAUCAGGUGGAAAGUGAUGGGCAGCAACAAUGGAAUACAGUACGGACCAUUUCCGGUGCCCAAAGAUGGCUUACCAGUUGCUUUAUUCCCCAUUAAAAAGACUUAGAAUUGUAUGUACAGUUUAUUAGCACUCCGGUAGGCCGGUGUUGCAUUUACUUUCCUCUAGUUCAAUAUUGGGAUUUAGCCAGAGUUGAAUUUGUAUAGCCCCAUUUAAUCUUUAUAUUUAUAUAAAGGAGGUUCCUGGGAUGGAUGACGUGGCAGCUCCCAGAAUCCUUCCUCCAACAUUCCUGUUUUUCUAGCAAUUGUCUAAUUUUUGUAUUUUUUUCCUAUUUAUGCUCUAUUUUUGUAGUAACUAGCUUUAUAGCCCGUGCGAGGCACGGGCAUGCUCUAACUUGACUUGUUAUACAUUUAUAUUUUGGGCUUAAAAAAACAUCAUUUGUCAUAGGAUUAUAGACUUACUUAAGAUAUACAGAACCACAGUGCUGAGAAGCAUGUAAUUCUAUAAAAGUACAUAUACAGAUUCACGAUGCAUGUGAUUUAUCUUGCAGAGAUGUUGUACCUUGCUACAUAUCCUUAUUCAGCAUGUUUGAAUGAGUGUGAUUUUGCUGCAUACUACUUGAGGAACUACAUAAGUGAAUAUUAAGUCAAUAUUUUCGAUGUAUAUGUACAAAUAUAAAAUACCUGCAGUGCAUAUGCUGAUAGAAUAUGCAAAUUUUGACAUUCUUAAUAUAAAAUUUGUUCUUGUUAAACUACAUAACAAAUUUUGCCAAGGUAUAAUACAUAUAGCCGCUAUCAUAGGAAUUGUGUUAUUGUAGUAGCAUGAGUUCCCACCAAAAAUAAUUUAUGCACAUUAUUAUGAACCUUCAGCCCAGUUGUAAGUAUCCCUGUUCUGGCACCAUAAAAAUAUAUCUGUCCACUUGCAAGGAUCUCUAUUCUGCCACCAGAAAAAUAUAUUUUAUGUUAAAGAUUCACAUACAACAGAUAUAUUUAUCCAUGUGUAAGGAUCUCUAUUCUGCCACCAAAAGAAUAUAUUUUUCGCUAAAGAUUCACAUACAACAGAUUGUACACCUUAAUUAAGCGGCACACACUUCUACAGUAACACAUAGCCACAUAUUAGCUGUCCGUACUCAUGAGAGAAGAUUAUAAUGUGACAUAUAACUCAAAACCCGCUCAAGUACUACAAUUUUUUUCAUAAACUUUUGUAAAGCAUAGUUAAAAUAUAAAGGAACAAUGCCAAACUCAUGUAAUGCAAGAAUCAGUAUCAAAUAUACUGAUGAGCAAUUACAUCGAAAAAUAAUUUGGCCAUAUAUAAUAAGUUUUAUAAUAUUGUUCUCUAUAAUUUUGUAAGAUGACGUAAUCAUAUUUGUUUUAUUGGUCUUUUUUCAAAGAAAAAUGAAAAUGAAAACCAGAGCCUCUUUGAUUUCUAUAUAUAGCAUUGUAUACAUUUCAGCUUGCAAAAUAGUUUGAACCGUUAAUCUGUAAAUUAUUAUAUAUAUAUUUAAAUUAAUUAAAGAUUUUUAAUAGUAUCUUAGAUUUUAGGAGGAUCAUUAAUUUAACAUGGUCACAUGGCUCCAUUUUGAUCUUAAUUUGGUAGUUUGUGCACUCAUACAAUUGGGUACAAAAUUUUAAUAUUAAAAAUAAUUUUGAUAUUAUUCUAACUUCUUGGAAUUUUAGUAUUUUAAUUAAGAGUGCCCAAAUUUUAGUAUUUUAAAUGUAUUCACUCUCAACUACAUUCCAGAAAAGAGCAUAUAUUCCUUCUUUAUUUCAUAUUUUAUGCCUCUACUUAGAAUAGAAUUGGCUCCAAAAUCCAAAACCAUGGACUUUGCUUGUAAGAGGAAGAAAGGGAAAAAUAUAUUUGAAAAUGGAUACCACGUACAUAAAAAAAAUAAAGGCAUAUUAUUAAUAAAAAAAUAUAAGAAAUAAGACUUUUUUAGUUGGCCAAAAAAUGUAGAAGAAUGGUACCUUAAAUACAAGAAGUGCAGAUCUCUUCUUGUAAUGGUAGGCCACGCUUGUCCUUUGUGACAAAUACAGAGACGUUCCAAUAUGUUGCCACAAUUGCUUGAACAAAUCUGGUUAUGAAGUUUGAUUCAGAUUUCAACUUGAUGUAGAAGAGAUAAGCCAAGUUGAAUGAAAGGACUGUUGCAAACAUAAGCACUAAGAGUACCCCAACACCAAUUUCUCACCCAAGUGAUCUUGUAUAUAUACAAUACAAGACAUGGCAAUAACUAAAAUGCUAGUACAUGCAUAACACCAUCCAAAGUAUUUUGAGAGGAACUGAAGUUUUGGAACUGUCUUUUACCAAUCAGUUGAUCUGAGCUACAGGCCAAAGUGGACGCUCUGAUUCCUCCAGAACCAAUAAACCUAAUUCCAAACGAACAACACAAGUAAAAGACUUGAAAAGCAGUAGAGGAGCUGCAGCUGCUACUAAUUAUUUUUGAGUAGGAUGCCCCGCAAUGUAUAUAAUGAAGGUAUUCUAAAAACCUAGAGCAAGAUAUAAAAGAGGUGAAAGUCUUCAAGAUCUAAUAAAAAAAUAUUUCUAAAACAGAAAAAAGCACCUACAAUUUCAGAUUUUUUUUUAAUUAACCUAGAAGAUUAAAAUUAAUAGGCAUUAAUGUUGAACUCAUUUAUAAAAAGAACCAAUAAUUUAAGGAUUGUACAAGUAUCAAUGAGUUGUCACUAACUCUACCUUCAUGUCAUAUCAAUAAAUGAAAUUGAAGCUGGUAUUAGUGGCUUCAACAUAUUUGUAAAAGAAUUUAACGCUAAAGUAAAUGUAAGUUUAUCAAGAAACCUAACUUGCAUGUAGAAGCAUGGUCUUAUGAGUAGCUUUUUCAUAGAAACGGAACAUUUAUUAAACUUUUUAACCAGUUAUAGAAAACCAUCCACAGAUAUUGAAGCUGCUGAUUUCUUUAAAUCGUCAUUCAAUAGUCAUGUUACAUUCUUGCCAACCACAAUCAAGUUUAAGCAACCUUUGAGACACGAUCGACUGACGCCGAACAUGAUUUGGUUGUUGAUAGGUCCAUUUUUAGCCAUAAAUGAAAAAUCCUAAUUGGACCUACAAUUGGAAACUAAAGAUAAAAACAAUAGAUAUUCAAGAAACUUACAAAGUUGGUCUGAACUACUUCAGGAGAUGCAUAUACUAUGUUUAUGCCAGUCUCGGAAGGCAAUUUGUUGUUGGGUAUGCUACUGAACAUCACCUGCAAUCUCGUAUGCAGACUAUGACCCUUUACAUAAAAUCUUUAAAUAAAAAAUUUAGAACAACUUUGUUAUUAAACGAAGAAGAAGGCAGUCAGAAAAACUAAACAGCUCGUGAAUAAGUAAGAAUUAAGAACAAAACCUUAUUGCACUACAGUUUUAAGUUUUAUUCAACCUGUAGUAGUUUGCUGCCUGAGUAACCCACUAAGUUUGUGUACUUUUUCUUUCCAGUCGAGACAUUCAUGUCUUCUGGACCAACAAAGCCAAGAAUCUUCAGCAGGGGAAAAAGAACAAUUAGAAAUGUUACAUAAAGCGAAAUAACACAGGCACAUGAUCAUAACAUUGAACUUACAGUCGAACUAACGUACACAAUCCGACUUGGAGGGCCUCUGAUGAGAGAUGGGAAAAAAAAGAAGCAGCAAUAUGGAACAUAAGGCUGGCGCUAGAUGAUUCACUUGAAUAUGCUCUUCAGAACCGUACUUUGACUUUUUUUGAGGUUCUAAACACAAUUUGUAGAAAAAAUUUUAUACCGACCUCCUUGGAAAAAUGUGGGAAAAACAUCUAAUAUCUAAUAAAUUUUGACAUUGUAUGAAAAGUAUUACAACAAAUACAAGUCAUUUGCAUAUAAUUAGCUUAACACUAACCUCCACUAGAAAAUAUCCCGGCAUUGUUGAUGAGCACAUGCAAAAGGACUGAAAGCGCAUUCCAUGCUUCAGCAAAUCUAGCAACAGAAUCCAAUGAGAGAAGAUUGAGCUCCAUCACAUUGAAUGUCAAAUUUUGGAUGAGUUUGCUACUAAAUGUUUUAAGAGCCCGCGCUCACAAACAACUAACACAUUACACAUUGGUUCUGUAAUCUAAUCGGCUAAGGGGAGAAUCUCAGAUUCUAAGCGGUCCUGAUAAAUGAAUUGUUUUCCUAGAAAUAUCGAUGCCAGUAAGUGAGCACCUCAAUAUUGAGAGGAAGGUUCCUUUUAGACCAAUCGAACUGCCAUUUCUCAGUCAGUACAUUAGCUCUUGUAGUGUUCUGAACUGCCAUUACAACGCACGUCCCUGCUUCUGCUAACUGCCUGUCAGAUGCAGCAACAAACCACAUAUCAGCUAAGUACACCUGCAAAACCCGCGAGUUCAGAAAAAUACACCCUUUGUUUCUUUACACCACAUUUUGACUUCUGAUACACACUUUUAGACCACAUAGAAGAUAUAUUUCAAAAAAUUCAUGUUUAAUAAAUAUAUAUGUAAUGUACAUAUUAAUUUACAAAAAAAUAAUAUUAAGCUAUUAAACAAUUAACACGUCUUAAGAUCAGUGUUAAAAAUAAAAGCACCAUAUUAUAAAAAAAUUGAGGGAGUAGAAAAAACAUUAAAAUGGACAAAGAACCUAGCGAUUUUGUGACCAAUUCCAUUGGUGCAACCAGUGACAACACAAGUGAAAUCUGGAUGGAGAGGAGGAAGAGGCAUUGGAGUGUGCAGAUGUCUAGUCAUGAUCCUCCAGAACAACAUUUCGUGCAUCAAAUGAAAGCAUCCUCUUAGUCAUGCAAUCCAUCCCAGCCCUUUCUUCUUAUUCCACAUCUUGCUAAUAGUUCACCAACAUAGAAACCAUCAGUAUAAAAGUUAAUUGUUCAAAUUUACCGAUCAUACCAUAGGUCAACAUAUAGUAAAAUCAAGAUUUUCAUUUUCUUUUGACUCAAUUAGUAUUCGAUUCUUCAGACGCACAAAUGCAAAGAACACAUUAACGAUACAACAUAAAAGGAAGAAUGCAUACUUACGGAGAUAAAAAUAAAUGUAACACAAGCCGCAUAAACUCUUGGAUAAAUUGCUUAGAAACUCUCUAAUCCAAUCUUCUGUGCAGCAUCGUAAACACCUAGAACCAAAAGAAGACCCCUGAAUCGAACAAACAAACACCUAUAAACCAACAAAUAAAUUACAAUUUAAGAGAUUGCAAAUAGAUUUGGGGAAGCAAAUAUAGAAGAUGGAGUGUUACAGAUGCAAGCAAAAAACGGAUGUUGCACUCCUGCCUGUAAUUUUGAUGCACAAAAAAUCACAGAUGAUCCUACUGUACAAGUAUAACGAACCGGUGCUGAAAUUACAGGGCAUCGAAAAGAUAGGGAUAAGGAAGUAAUUUCAGAUUUCUUAAUGAUGGGCAAGAUUGUAAUUUCAACUGAAUUUUUUGGCUCACCAAAACCCAUGUUGCAGUAUUAUAUAUAUAAUAGAUUUGUAACUUAUUAAUUGCUAUCAGUUACGGGCUUUUGGUUUUCUGUUUCGCGUGUCCUUUUGUUGGUCGGCUCUCGACUGUCUUCUCUUCCAGGCUCUCAGACUCUGCAAUUCUAUUAUCUAUAUACCAUCUCUCUCGCUCUCUACGUUGUUUUUAAUUCGAUCUAAUUUUGUUUGCUUCUUUAUUUGAAUCUCAGGCUUUAAUUUAGGUGAUAAGCCGCGUUAUCGCACCAGAAUUUACAAGGGGAUUGAAUGGAUCGUGGUGAAGAAAGCUCCUGAGUUCAGUGUAUUGCUCUUUGUUUUCGCUUUUCAUGUCUCGCCAGAAGCUCUCUCUGCAAUUCCGUAUAUCAUCUCUCUCUAUCUCUCUCUGUUCUUUUUAAUCCAAUAUCAUUUUGUUCGCUUCUUUAUUUGAAUUUCAGGCUUGUGAGUGAUAAGUCCCAUUUCUCGCACACGUUUCUCGCAGCAGAAUUAAUAAGGCGAUGGAAUGGCUCUGUCGGGGUCUCUCAAGUUUGUGUCAGUAGUUUCACGCAUCUCCUUCUCAGUCUUUCAUUCUUCAGCUCUGCAUUUCUUCGAUUUUACUGAUCUGUGGUAUUAUUGUUUCUUUUGAAUUAUGAUUUAACUCCUAAUUUUUGUUGUUGUUGAUUCUUUGUUUUUCUGGCUUGAAAUUUAUUUAGUUAUGAUUAUAACUGAUUAACUCAGAUGGAUGGGUCACUGCAAAUGUUUGUUGUUAUCGAUUCUUUGUGGUUUUUCUGGGCUUGCAUUAUGUUUGAUUAUGCCUUAAACUCAGACUCCUAAUUUUUGUUGUUGUUGAUUCUUUGUUUUUCUGGCUUGAACUUUAUUUGGUUAUGAUUAUAACUGAAAUGAGGCGCUGCUAAUUUUUUUAUUGCAGCUGUUAAUGAUACAGAUGCUGAAAGCCAGUGGGAGCCUUUUAGCCUCUACCGAAGAAGCCGAGGUAAUACUUUGUCCAUCUUUUCUUGGUUCUUUUUGUUUAUGUAAGUAUGUAUACUUGUGUAUGUAUGUGUGCUUUCGUUUAGGUUCUCAAGGUAGCUUUAUAUGUUUUUGAUUUGUAGUAUUUGUGUUCAAGUUUUCGAAUGCUACAGAAGAGGAUUAACAAUAAACCAAAAAACCAAAUUAAACAUAGUUAUGUAUAUCGUCGGAUCUUGUGAUAAAUUAUUUAACCAGACCUUUCCACUUAUGGAGGCUGAUGUUAGUUAGUGCCAGUGAUCGCCAUCUUUAACAGCUCAUGUUUGUUUUCAGCUUCUGUGGUGUUUAUUUCAUUCCAUUUAUAUGUUCUUUGGUCUCAUUUGGGCUUCGUUAUAAAUUUUAUAUAUCAUCAGGUGUGGUGUCUGAGCUAAGGAGGAUGAUGUGGCAUGUCUUAUAACUCUUCAUCUUAAUUUUUCUAUUUUUCAAAGACUUUGCGGAUUUUGUUUGUGGUCAUGCCUCAAGCUCCUUUUAGCCAAUUUUUCUCAUUUUCUAGGUUUCUUACAUUUAUGCAUUAAAUCUUUUUUUUUUCAAACUCAAAAUUUAUAUGGCCGAUGGAAGGGUCAAGUAACCACCAUUAUGAUUUAUAGUGUGCCUCUUUGCUGUCCCUUAUUUAAUAAUGAUGUAAGUUUUAACUAGCGAUCAUGUAUACAGUGUUGUUGUGACUCAACACGUUUGCUUUUUUCUUCUUCUCGGAUUUCUCUUUUUGUAUAGGCAAGUAGUCAACGUAUUAGUAUUGAUCAUAAUGUAAUCUGUUUCUUGACACAGAUGAGACUCUUAGAGUUUGAAUGACUGAUGAGGAAUUAACAUAGAGUGAUGAGAUCAGCUUGAAAGAAGAGAUAUUAGUUCACUCAACAAAAAUGAAAAGGUGCUCCAUUAAUAUUAGAUUAGUCUGGCAACUUUUAGUCUCCUAAUUUCUUCAUGUAUAUUUCCCGGUUAUAGUGUAACAUCUAGCGAAGAAAUAUCAAAAAGUCUGAUUCAAAUCGCCGGCAAUUAUAUCAGUUGUCUUCACGCGAGCAGAAUGGAUUUCUCUAAGUUAGAUGUUUUUCCGUUUUAUAUGAUAUGAAGCAUUCUCAACAGAUUGUUCUGGUGUUUAUUUGUUGUUUUCUUGGUGUCAAUAUUAGAGGCGACACCAAACACAAUACCGAGGUUGAUGGAAUCUGAGAGAUUACCUAUCUUCCAUGUGAAAGGUCAUUUACAGAGUACUAAUAUAAUUGUAACUUCUCAUACUUUGGUUCUAUCUGGUGUUUUAAGUAUUAAAGAUAGAAUUAUUUAUUUUUCCCAGUCGGUGUUCAUCUGUUCCGUAGAAACAUCUGUUCCGGUUUGUAUUGUCAUAUAUUCUUAGAAUGAGGCCAUCCUUGCUAUAUCGCACAAAAUAAUAGAACAAGUCUUCUUCAUUUACUCUGCAGAAAAGUCUGAGCCAGGAAUGAUCGACACAAACAUAUCUAAAGGAGGCUGUUGUGGUAGAGGAGAUAAUUCUAUGAGCAGUGCACGUGCUUUAAGGGAAGCCUCUGGCACGGUGAGGCGAAAAUACUGUUCGAGCCAGGUUGGAUAUGCGAUUUGGAUUGACCUCAAAUUUCAAAGCCAAGACUUGAAAUCCAAGAGAAAACUACAAAUGCAUCCAUCAAUACAGUGGAAUAAACCUUUCGGAGGUUCUCUUAUGUUUUACAUGUUUCUACCCGGACAUUUAUAAAUUUAUAAAUAUUGAAAUACUGUGCCCGGUGAUGUAUAUCUGUGAUAUUAGGAAGGAACAUCUCCACUCAUGAAUUAUGAUGAUACUGUAGGUGUAGCCUUCUCCCUCCAGCUAUAUUUUCUUAUAUUUUAAUAAAAUAUGCAAAAUAAUAAAAUUCAGAAAUUAUAUAUGACAAAGAAAUUUAAAAUAUUUUAUAUUCAAUAUUAUUCUCACUCGCGCGGAGCGCGUUUUUUUCACUAGUUUCUUUUGUAAGUUAAAAUGUGCAAGACUCCAAGCUUCAUCUCUUUCGGAACUAGAGACUUUGUUAAUUAAUAGUGGCAAGACUUUACAUACUUAUUUCAUAGUAUUAUCUGUUAGCUUCAGCUGCUCUGUGCAUGCUGGAAAUGAGGCAGGGUUAAAGAAACAGCCCUCGGCAGAGGAAGGGCUUAAGAGAAGGUCCUGAGAAUUUUGGACAUUUUUAUAGGCUAUAGCAAGAAAAACCAAUUACAAACCGGUGUCCAAGCUUAAAAAGACAGAUGGAAAGACAGGGCGAUGAGUCCAUCGAAGUGCCAAAUCGACUCCCAUGAGACUCCGUGCACCAGAAUAUUCCGAUAGAUAGAGUCACUAUAGCUAUGUCACAAAUAAAAUUAGCACACUAGUAAAUGACAGUGAAUUCGAGAUUACCAAAUACAUUAUUAUAUAUGAGAGAUUAUCGUAAAUAAAUGAUAAUAAAUUCGAGAUUAUCUAUAUGAGAAAUCUUGAUUCAUAACAAGGACUCUUAAACCACAAAUUUUUAAUAUCUUUGAUUUAUGAAGCAAUUGAAAGGGUCAAAGAGAGCAGGAGAGAACCACAAAACCCUUACUAUUAGUUAGGAUUUAGCAGAACUUCACAUGUCUGUAUAUUAUAUUUUAAAAUUAUUUUUGAAAAUAAAAAAACAUAAAAAAAAACAUGUAUUUAGAUUUAGAUCCUAAAAAUUUAUUUAAAAUUUAGAGUUCUGCACCAGGACUUUGCUGGUUCUACGAGGCGGUUCCCUCUUAAACUCGACCUUGAAAUAACAUGUUUUCAAUCUUUUAAAAAAAUCUAUAUUUUCACUUAAAUAUUAAAAUUGUAUGCUUUCAUUUUCAUUGAAAUAUUUUAACAUUUAUAAAUAUUAGUAAUAUAAGCAAUCAACAUAAUUAAAUUAAUGAUGUAUCUUAUCAUCUUAUUAAAAUAAAUAUAUUUUAAUAUAUAUAUAAUAUAAAAUUAUGAAUUAUUAACAUAAAUAAUUAUAUAAACACUAAUAACAAUAAUACCUCUUAAUGUGAAAAAUAAUUUGACAAAAAAUUUAAUAAAAUAUUUAUUAUAUAUGUUAGAUUAUUUUUAAUACACAAAUGCCGUCAGUUAGUCGGUCUAAAUAUGCAGCAGAAAUGUCAAAACUCUGAGGACACUAGUGACGUAAUCUUUCAAAAUUGAAAAUUUGAUUUCCUCCUUCCCUUUUCAGUUCUCAUGACCACGCUGAUCGUCUUGACCAGCCUUUAUGUGAAGUUUAAAAUGAUACUGUAUUGUUAAGAAAUACUUGGGUCGAGAUGAUUUAAUUAACAAGUGCGAUUAUUUUAAAAAAAACAUAUAAAGACAUAUAUUGAUUAACAUGGAGAGUAUUUUAUACAUAGUAUUUAUAUAUAAUUGAUCAUUAAAUAUUCAUAUAUACAAAUAAAAUGUGAAAUAUAUGUAUGUAUUUUAUUGUUUAUCAUAUAUAUAUAUAAUUCACAAAAAAGAAAGUUAUUUUUUUCUGAAAGAAAUGUUGUAAAACGUUAAUAUCUAAACUAAUUUUUCAAUAGACUAUAUUCGUUCAAAAUAAUUUUACAACAUAAUCAAAUUUAUUAAAUUUUUUUAUCUAAAUUAUACAUGUCGGAGGGGUAGAGGAAAUGGUAACUUAGCACGGGUAAGUACUCCAUCCACGGUUAGUAGUCACAUUUCUAUUUUUGUCAGUUAAAUUGAUUAAUUUUUAAUCAAAAAUCAUAAGUCACAUUCUAUUAUUUUAAAAACUGAAAGUUAAAUUUUAAAAUAUAUUAAAAAAUUAUUUCUGAAAAUAUUUUUUUAUUUUAUUAACUAAUAAAAUAUUAAUAAAUUUCAGUUAAAUUUAUCGACCGAUAAAAAACUGAGAACUGAAAAGGAACAAAGAAGUAACAAAUUAACAAUAUAAGAGCAUCUCCAAGAGCCUCAUUGUUGGCUCCUAAAUAUAAUAUAAAAAAUGUGGCUCUUAAUAAUUUAGGACAAAGUUAAGAGUGUAAACUCCAACAAUACUCUCUAGAUCUCUUCUCUAUUUCAUAUUUUAUUCAUAUAUUGGGCUCCACUAUAACAAAAGAGAGGGAAAGAUGGAGGUUGAUUGGAGAGAAGGAUUUUUUUAUUGUGAAAAAAUAAGUUAGGAGCCAUGUGGUGGCUCUUAACUUUGAGGAGAGAGGAGAGAGAAACAAGAGGCUCUUAAGAUUUAAGAGCCACUUAAGAGUCUCUUGGAGCAACAUUUUGGUUCUCCCUCCUCAAAUCUCAAGUUAGGAGCCUAAAUGAAGAGCCUCUUGGAGAUGCUCUAACAGCCCAAACAAGCCCUGACCCAUCCAGAUAAAAUCCUAAAAUCAGGUGGCCUCCCACCGUUAUAUUUAUAUAUACGCACAUAGGAUAGACUGUGUGUAUUUAUAUACCCACGACUCCCUUUCUUUCUCCUCAAGAUGUUGGCGUGGAAUCAUUGAAUAUCAUAUAUUUCUCAAUCAAAGUUUUAAUCUCUACUAUAAAUUUACAACCCCUUUUUGCUAAUUCAUUAUCUUCUGAUCUCACGGAUCGAUAAGUUAUGAUCUUCUCAAGAAUUGGGCGUUCUUUAUCACGCUCCCCGCGUUCCACAGUAACCUCUCUCUCCCUCUGUCUCUAUGUCAUUUGUGUUUGUAUGUGAAGUGAUUGUGUAAAUUAGGGUUUAAUUUUGUUUUGUUGUAGAAGAGUUUGUUGACUAAUGGGAGAGCAGCUCUUGUGGGUGAAUCAAUUUUACAAGGUCCUGGUAGUGUUGAUGGGAAAUUAGGGCUUGUGAGGAAGUAUUUAGCUGCUAAUGGAAACCUGGCUGUUUCCAAAGCUUAUUUGUCUGAUUUCAGAUAUCUUCUUGCAAACCCUAGAUUGCAUAGAUAUUUCUCCACUGAAGAGGGGCCUAAAAAGAAGAGUAAGGGUGUUCUUUUGGUUUGAGUUUGUUGGGUUGGUUUUGUUCGCGUUUUGAUAUGAUUGUUUUUGCAGAUUAUGAGAACUUCUAUCCCAAAGACAAGAAGGAGAUUCCGAAAGGGGAUGAACAGAAGUCACAGUCGAAAGGUUGGGUUUUUAUUAAUUCAUUUCGAAGCAUUAUUGUUGGUCUUAUUUGAUUUAUAUUGAGGGGUUAUGACUUAUGAGUCAUAGAAAUUUACUUUCGUUGUGCAUUUAAUGAAAAGUAGGGAACAAUAGCUUGUUUAGUUUUAGUGAGCAAAACAAUUUGUCAGCUGAUGAUUUAUAUUGUUAGGUCUUUGUGGUCUACAAGAACCAGAACUGAACUUAGUCAAGUAUAUUGAAGGAUAUUGAAUUUUAUGUAGCUGAAAAUUUGUGUCAUUGAGGAGUGCAGAUUCAUAGGAGCCCUAAACUUCAGUUAAAUAUUUAUGUCAUUCAUUCAUCUGGUAGCAGUUUGGAUCUUUUUAGGAUUUCAUCUUUCUCUAUUGCAGUGUAAAUGUAGCUGUGAUAGUAGAAUGACAUUUUCUUUUCUGUAAUACUGAAUUUUGUGUUCACCGAAAGUCAAGUGAAAAAGCUUUUGCAAUGUAAGAAGGUUGCUAUAGGAGUAUAGGACCAUGUCUUGAUGUCCUUAUGCGCAAACAUUUAAUGAGAAAAUUUUUUUAUAAUGGUGUUGGAGAUGAGCGUUGAAUUGAGUUUAUUGAUGUUUUGGGUUAAACAGUUCCUAGGUACUUGCAUCUCACAAUAUUUUUGCUUUUAACAGAGGAUUCAAACACAGAUGAUGGUGGUGACUUUCAGUCAGCUUUUAUGAAGCAAAUCCAGAAUCUAAUUAUCCCCUUGUUGGUGAUUGGAAUGUUUUUCUCAUCAUUUCCUUUUGGUGGCCGUGAAGAGAAACAGGUAUGGGUUUAUGGUCUUUGUUGACUUAUGUGUAUGACUUAAGAAAAUUUCUAGAUAAAUAAUACACACACACACACACACACACACACACAGGUUACGUAAUUUGAUUCAAGUUGAGAAAGAUGUGUCAAACACCACAAUGAAAAAAGUUAUUAGCCUUCCCAAGUCUUGAUUGUGUCCUAUUUAAUUUUCGUACUGCUUAAGUGAAGCGGCAAGGACAAGUGUGUUUCAUUGCCAUUUUUGAUAAUGGCAUUACAAGUGAAUUUUCUUAACAUCCAUGUGUUCAUUUUUUGGUGAACAAGGUUGACAUUUUUAAUUAUUAGGGCUGUUGGUGAUUUUGAUCCUUGUAUUCUGCGAUAUACUCUUUGUGCGAGUCAUUAUUUUUAUCUCAUUGGUCUUAUUGUGUGUCAAAUUGCAGAUUAGUUUCCAAGAGUUCAAAAAUAAGCUUCUGGAACCAGGUUUAGUGGAUCAUAUAGUGGUUACUAAUAAAACAGUUGCUAAAGUGUAUGUAAGAAGCACACCCUUAAAUCGGUCCAGAGGUGAUGGACCGGUUGCUCAAGGUCCUGAUACUGAUAAUGACACAAGAGGUAAGAAAGGCCAGUAUAAGUAUUAUUUCAAUAUUGGAAGCAUAGAAUCAUUUGAAGAGAAAUUAGAGGAAGCCCAGGAAGCCUUAGGUAUUGACCCCCAUGAUCAUGUUCCCGUUACCUACAAUUCUGAAAUUGGGUGGUAUCAAGAAGUGAUGAGGUUUGCGCCAACACUUUUGUUAUUGGGAACUCUUAUGUACAUGGGACGGAAAAUGCAGGGUGGAUUAGGUGUUGGAGGUGGUGGUGGAAAAGGUGCUCGUGGGAUAUUUAACAUAGGGAAAGCUCACAUUACCAAGGUGGACAAAAAUGCAAAAAACAAGGUUAGUAAACUGCUCAGUGUAUUGAUGUCCAUGGCCAGUAGUUGAGCCAUACAUGUCUUACCUCUUUCACAUUAUACCUUGUUUUGGACAAUAGCCGUCAGCAGAUGGUCCAUUUUGAAUAUCUCAGUAUUGUAGCUUAAUAUUAUUGUUAUAUUAGAUCAAGUAACUGGCUUUUCUGCAGGUUUAUUUUAAAGAUGUUGCUGGCUGUGAUGAAGCAAAGCAAGAAAUCAUGGAGUUUGUACACUUUCUCAAGAACCCUAAGAAAUAUGAGGAACUAGGUGCAAAAAUUCCAAAAGGUGCUUUAUUGGUUGGACCUCCUGGAACAGGUAAAACUCUUUUAGCCAAGGCAACUGCUGGAGAAUCCGCUGUGCCUUUCCUGUCUAUAUCUGGUUCAGAUUUUAUGGAAAUGUUUGUCGGGGUUGGACCAUCUAGGGUGAGAAACUUGUUUCAAGAAGCAAGACAAUGUGCACCUAGUAUUAUAUUUAUUGAUGAGAUCGAUGCUAUUGGUCGAGCAAGAGGACGGGGGGGUUUCUCAGGUUCUAAUGAUGAGCGUGAAAGCACACUCAAUCAGUUGCUUGUAGAAAUGGAUGGAUUUGGUACCACUUCUGGAGUAGUUGUCCUUGCUGGUACUAAUAGGCCUGAUAUAUUAGACAAAGCCCUUUUAAGGCCUGGCAGAUUUGAUAGGCAGAUCUCUAUAGAUAAGCCUGAUAUUAAAGGGAGGGACCAGAUAUUCCAGAUUUAUUUGAAGAAGUUAAAACUUGAUAAUGAGCCAUCGUACUUCUCCCAGAGACUUGCGGCCCUUACUCCUGGAUUUGCUGGAGCAGAUAUUGCAAAUGUUGUUAAUGAAGCUGCUUUAAUUGCUGCGAGGAGUGACCAAACAACAGUGACAAUGGAGCAUUUUGAGGGGGCUAUUGAUAGAGUAAUUGGUGGCUUGGAAAAGAAGAACAAGGUUAGUUGUAACCAGAUGAUUUCAUAUAUGUGUUGUGCUAGUUAAAUAUAUUUAUUCAUUAGUCAAUGUCCAGUAAAAGUUCACCUGUCAAAACCUAACAUGUUAACAUUAAGUUUCUUUGAUCUGUAGAAAUAUAAAGAAAAAAUAUCCUUGUGGAUCUGCCAUAUAUUAAUUUAUGGUUAUUUAUCAUAUAUGGCCAAUAUUAGGAUCAAGGUAGCCCCAUGAAAAUAUAGAGAACUUCAAUUUUGCUGCUCUGUACCUCUGUUGUUUGUCAAUUACGAAUAGAUUGAACUAUUACAGGGCUGUAACUUAUAACCAUAGUUAGCUGGAAAUUUUCUUCAUUCAUAUAUAUAGUAUUAAAAUUAAGUGAUUAAAUGUGAAGCACAGUCCUUCCACGUAUAUGGUGUUAUAAAUGAGACAUAUUUUUCGAUACUUUAGUUAAGUGUGUAUGUUUGUCUUGGUGAUUUGCUUAUAUGUUGUAUAUCCGUAAACAGGUUAUAAGCAAACUUGAGCGUCGGACUGUAGCUUAUCAUGAAGCAGGUCAUGCCAUUGUAGGAUGGUUUUUGGAACACACAGAACCUUUGCUAAAAGUUACUAUCGUUCCUCGCGGUACAGCUGCACUUGGUUUUGCACAAUAUGUACCAAAUGAAAACCUUCUCAUGACCAAGGAGCAGCUUUUUGAUAUGACAUGCAUGACACUUGGUGGUCGUGCAUCUGAGCAGGUUAGUUGAUGCAUGUUUUUACUAUUUGAGUUGCAUUGCCAAUAAUUUUUUGUUAAAUCACGGGAAAGUCACUGUUAAUACAUUUUUGACUUAAGGAUAUAACAAAAAGUUCUAUGAAAAUAGAAAGAACCUUCCUGCCACAGUUUUUCAAAUUUUUUCUGUAGCUAUAGAAGAUUUUCUUUGGUUUCAGGUUAUGUUGGGUAAAAUCUCGACUGGAGCACAAAAUGACUUGGAGAAAGUGACAAAAAUGACAUAUGCACAAGUAGCAGUCUAUGGCUUUAGUGAGAAGGUGGGUCUCCUUUCUUUCCCUCAGAGAGAGGAUGGUGGCUUUGAGAUGACUAAGCCCUACAGCAACAAGACAGGAGAUAUUAUUGACACUGAAGUGCGAGAAUGGGUGGCCAAGGCUUAUGAAAAGACAAUUGAACUUGUAGAGAAACAUAAAGAGCAUGUCGCUCAAAUUGCAGAGCUUUUGCUUGAAAAGGAAGUACUCCACCAGGAAGACUUGCUCCGGGUUUUAGGUGAACGGCCUUACAAACCUGCUGAGAUGACGAACUAUGAUAAAUUUAAGCAAGGGUUUAUGGAGGAGGAUGACAAGAGCAAACCUGCCACAGAGAGUGUGAGUGAAGAAGAUGAUGACUCAGCACCUCUUGUACCAGAUGUGGUUCCAACUUAAUAUUUGAUCGGACAGGAAGGAGGCUUCCUUUAGUGAUUGUACAUGCAUUUUAAUGAAAAUUUUCUUCCUAAUUUUUACAUUAUUCGCUUUCUUCUACAUUGUCAAGCGAGAAUAUGAUUAUAGAGCUGGACAGACUUUAUUUUGGAGAUGCUUCAUACCUCUGCAGCCGCCCAGCUUGUUAGCAUAGCCUUUAAUUUCUACCAAGUCAGUCUUGUUGUAAUUUCAUUUACACUUUCAUUAAUAAAUUAGUUACUUUGUGUGGACGUGUUUGUUGGUUUUUAUGCAGUGCUACAUUUCUGAUAUCCAGCUCGCUGAGUACGAUGUAUGAUGCAAAAUUUUAAUUAGUUAACAUAUUAUACGAAACGUACAUAUGAUUAUGUGACGAUUUUUAUUUGAAGUAUAUUAUUUCCUUUGUGUCAACAGUCUUGUUUCGAUUUUAUUCGGUUACACUGACCAAAUAAAUUUGAUUUGGUCAAAAUGACCAAAUUUUAACAUUACAUGUUAUAUAUUUAAAAAUUUUAUAUUAUUAAAAUAUAUAUUUGAUCUAUUUUAAGAUAUAUUUUUCACUUCUUAAAAAUAAUGAAUACUUUUUAUUAAACAAAUAAAAAAAGAAUUAUCUUAACUGAGAGUUGAUUACCACCGACCAAAUGACCCGUAAUUUUGUUUAUGCUUCAGUAAGUAAGAUGAUGUAAAAAAAUUACUGUAUACUUUACUACUAAUUUGAUUCAGAAUCAUGAUAUCAAAUUAACAGCAUCAAAUUUCUGAGUUUGAUUUUACCAAGUCAACAACUCUCAGAAUUAGUAGUAUCAGCAUAAAAAACACUUGAAAGUGAUAAUAAAUUGGUAACCGCCAUUUUUUAAACCCAAAUGUAGAACAGCUUGAACAAAGAUGAGUCCACAGGAAAUUGGAAUUCAUUUGAUAAGUUAUCAUGGAUCAACUGCUGUUUAAACUAAACAAAAAACCAGCAUAAAUCUGGAAACAUAAAAAGCCCUAGUGUGUCUGUACAUUGCUAGGCCCUUGAGUCUUGGCCAGCGAUCGUUCCUGUUUCUCACAAGGUAUAUAUAUAAAUGGAUCCAAACAUGCAAAUCUGUAAAUGAGAUAACUAGGAGAUAUGAUCAUUUCAAUGAAUAUUUCUUCCCAGUAAAUGCUUGGAACUUGGUUUCCUCUUCCUUUUUAGGUUGUUCCUCCUGACUCUGUUCCUUUUGCUUGGUCUCAUUCUGUAGUUUAAACAUUUUCAAUGAUAGCAUUAAUUUUAAUAUACUACUUGUUCAAGGCAAAUUACAGUAAGCAUGAAAAGAUAUAUUUAAAUAAUGUGAUUUGCAUACUUUUGGUUUUGCAUGUGAGGGUUGGUCUCCGUUUGAUCCGAACACAAGCUUCCCGCAAUGUUUCCUUGAUGAAUUUGAUGGUGAAGGAACAUUAUUACUUUUAGCUUCUGGUUGGUGAUGUUUGAGCAAGGAAGAAGAAGCUGCUACAAUUGGUUCGGUGGAAGGUUUCCCAUCCAAGCGUCUUGAUGAACCCGUGAAAGCAUUGAACUUGGGAACUUUGUUGUCCGUCUCUUCCUCAGCUGAAGAGUAUAUCAUUAAACCAGAUGUUACCAACUCAUAGUGCAGUAUAUAAUAAAGGAAGCUCAGUACUCGGACAAAAUCGGGAGAGUAGAAAGAAAGAUAGAGAACCUUGGUCUUCUGGUGGUCUCUUUUUGGAAAUACUAGCCUUAAGUGGUUUUUCAGGUUCUUUAUAAUCCAAUGGAGGUGCAAAAUCCACUUCACAGUCUGUUUCAAUGAUACUAAUUGCAGAAGAAGGUUUUGUCUCUACAAUGUCAAUGUAAAAUUUCUUAUUGUUAUAGGCAACCAUUAUAGUGUCUCCAGUAGUCAAACAAGAGUAGCUCCUUAAUGUUGUCUCCAAGCUUCAAAGAAUAAAAGCAAAAUUAGAGACAAGUUUACACAGACAGGUAUCUAGUCAUAAGGGUGUCAAAAAAAAUGAUCUCACAUUGCUUUUGGGUUGGAUACAUCCAAGAAGUCUUUUGUGUGAGGCUGCAGCUUCACAAAUGUACCCUUUGACAAACUGGCAUUCUUAAUAUUAACAAUAUCUCCUUCCCGUAGAAGCAUAUUCUCCAUCAUCUACAAUCAUAAAGCAAAAGUUUACAAAUCUACAAAUUCAAUAGAAGGGGUUGAUGAAAGAGACUAAAAUAAUAUUUGGAGACAUUGCAAGGAAAACAAUUACCCAGUACGGCAAGUAUAUCAUGCCCUCAUCUGCGAUAAAUUCUAGCACUCCACAGUGAGUAAUCUUUCCAGAAGUAGGGUUACUCACUUCAAAAAGCAUGGGGUAGUCUAUUUGUAGAUAUGCUGGUGAUUGGAAAAAAGAUAUAGAUAUAAAUAGGAGUGGGCGCUGAGUAAACCCUAACCAAAUUGAAAACCUAUACUUCCUCCAUUGCUGAGUAAUCCCUUACACAAAUCAAAAACCUAAACAUACUGCCUCCAUUGCUAUUUAAUUGUCCCUUUGACCCUCUAAGCGUACUUCACGGUAUAGAAAAAAGACAUGUCUUGCACAGAUAUCUUUUAUCUAAUUUUUAGUUAUAAUACAGUUGUAAUUUAUAUCUUCCUCAAAAAACAGUGAGGAAAAAAAAAGGGUGUGGACACCCUUUUAAGAACCUUUAAGUGAGGUAUGCUACUAAAAACAGAGGGGGGAGUAAAAGGUAAAGGAGGGAGUAUAUCCAUUAGCACGAAAAGGACCAACAAAAAAGGAUAUACAUAAAAGAAUAAAGCAGAAACCACUUACCUAGACGAUCAAGAGCUGAGGGAGGCAUUAUAACUGAGAGCCAAAACAAAACAUGCGAGUUAGGAAUACUGAUAUUUAUCUUGCUGAACAAAAAAGUAGACCAACAAAGGAUUUUUAGGAAUGAGAGCAAUUGACAAGGUUGACCGACCUUUAUCUCCCUUCUCUAGAUGUGCCUAGAAAAUAAGAACAAAAUUUUAUAAGCUGAUCCAUGAAGCUUAAUGAUCUUAAAAAAACUGUAAUUACUUUAGCAGAUACGAAUUGAAUAUCGAGCCUUUUACAUAUUAUGUGAUUUUAAACUAAAAGGAUGGAAAGACAAAGAAAUGGUAAUCAAAAGAAUAUAAACUCAUACGAUUUAUCAAGAUCAUUGUACAAGGCCAAAGAUCAUUGUACAAGUACAAAUGCCCAUUAAAAGAACACAUACACCUAAUAUCACAAGGACAGUAGAAGCUUUGAAAUCCAAUAAUUCAAUUCGCCACAAUCAACAAAACUUUUCGUAUAUAUUUGAUCACACGAUAUAAAAACCAAGUAUUUACCAACAAAAAAGAGUCCAAACUAAGAAAUCUAACCUUUUCAAUGAAAGCCACAGGAUAGCAACGGUAGUUCUGUUCAAAUGCUGAUGUGACACUCUGCAACCAAUUUAACAAACAGAAUCAUUAUAUUAUUCGUACUAGCAUUGCAGUUUCAGAAAAAAGAUAACAAUGAUAUCACGAUCUUCCAGUGGUUAAAUGGUAGUAGUAACAAAAGUAUAUCAUCCCAGAUCAAUCAACACUGAAUGUGGUUACGCAUCUGACCACUAGCUUCACAUUUGGUGAUCAUACUGAUACUGCCAGACGCCAAUUCACAAAGCCUCCUACAAACCUCUCACGAAAAAUGUGCAUCUAAAGUUUCAACCAUCGAUGGGUUAAAACAUAAAUAGGCUUUCUCAAGGACCGAGUAUUCAACGAAAUACAGAUCUCCUUGACCACUAAAACACAAAUACUCACUUGCAGCAUAAAAAAUUCACAAACAAUACACUAAAACAAAAGAACCCAGAUCAUAAAAGCCCACAUAACUCAAUUCUUCUAAACAACAUUCAAUCAGGAUACAAAAACACAAACAAUGUAACUCAAAACGGUUGCAUCCAUACCAUGAUUGCCGAUUCUGAUAAAAACCCACCCUCAAGAAGACAACAACAAUCUGUAAAAAAAACCCACAAAAUUAAACAACAAAGAAACAAAUAUUAGUACACUAGUAGCAUAUAAACAAUACCCAAAUCACAGUUUCACAUAAAUCUCAUCCUCCAAUUAAAUAUAUGAAUAACAGUCCACUAGUAUAAAGUUCAUACAGAAAAGUAAGCAAAGACAAAUAAAUCAUGGGCAUAAAAUAAUAAAUCUGGGUUACAAAUAGAAUGGGGGUGUAUGAGUAUGUGAAUAUCAGAUACAGAUGCGUGUGUGUAUUGGGGAUGGAUGAUUAAUGGGUUUGAUGUGAGAACCUUUUUGAGGGCUGAAGAUAUUAGCAGAGUUUGGAAGCGGAGAAGAGGCUUAUAAUUAUCAUGUCACGACUAUUAUAUAAGCAAUAUGCUUUGAUGCGUGUGUAUGCAGAGGCGUGAGGAGAAGGGGUACAAUUUGGGUUUUAAUAUUUCGCGUAAUAUCAAGGGGUUUUUUUAUUAAUAAUCACGUUUUCAAUCCUAUUUCCAAAAAUACUACCUUAUCCAAUCUUAUUUUCAAAAAUACUACCUUCUCUAAAAUAUUUUCAAAAAUACUGUGGUUGCAUAUGCAACCAUAUAUGCAACUGAAUUCCUGAUUUCAAGUUCCAGUUUUCAAAUGUCAUUUUCGACCUCAUAUUUGGAAUCGAUAUAUANNNNNNNNNNNNNNNNNNNNNNNNNNNNNNNNNNNNNNNNNNNNNNNNNNNNNNNNNNNNNNNNNNNNNNNNNNNNNNNNNNNNNNNNNNNNNNNNNNNNNNNNNAUAUAUAUAUAUAUAAUUGCAUAUAUGGUUGCAUAUGGUUGUAUUCAGUUGCAUAUGGUUGUGUUCAGUUGAUUCUAUUGUAAUCUAAUGGCCCCGCCAGGGGCACCCAUACAUCAGUUGCAACUUACAGUUUUCCGUUGCAUAUGAGGUUGCACGCAACCUCAUAUGCAACCUCAUAUGCAAUUAAAUGCAACUGAAAACUAUAAGUUCCAACUGAAGUAUGGGUGCCCCUGGCGGGGCCAUUAGAUUGCAAUAGAAUCAACUGAAUGCAACCUCAUAUGCAACUAAAUGCAACCUCAUAUGCAACUAAAUGCAACUGAAAACUGUAAGUUCCAACUGAAGUAUGGGUGCCCCUGGCGGGGCCAUUAGAUUGCAAUAGAAUCAACUGAAUGCAACCUCAUAUGCAACUAAAUGCAACCUCAUAUGCAACUAAAUGCAACUGAAAACUGUAAGUUCCAACUGAAGUAUGGGUGCCCCUGGCGGGGCCAUUAGAUUGCAAUAGAAUCAACUGAAUGCAACCAUAUGCAACUGAAUACAACCAUAUGCAACCAUAUAUGCAACUACAAAUCCUGAUUUCCAGUUGCAGUUUUCAAAUGUCAUUUUCGACCUCAUAUUUGGAGUCGAUAUAUAUAUAUAUAUCCACCGCAACUAAAUGCAACUGAAAACUGUAAGUUGCAACCACCGUAUUUUUGGAAAAUAUUUUCAAAAAGGUAGUAUUUUUGAAAAUAUUUUAGAGAUUUGAAAAUAAGAUUGGAUAAGGUAGUAUUUUUGAAAAUAAGAUUGAAAAAACAAUAUACAAGAUAAUUCCCCUAAUAUCAACCAUGUUCCUAAUAAUUUUAAAUCUGAAACUUUUAUAUGAAUUUUAGAUAUAUCAAUUCAAUUCGAAAUUCUUCAAAUCCGAUUUGACAGAUGUUAUNNNNNNNNNNNNNNNNNNNNNNNNNNNNNNNNNNNNNNNNNNNNNNNNNNNNNNNNNNNNNNNNNNNNNNNNNNNNNNNNNNNNNNNNNNNNNNNNNNNNNNNNNNNNNNNNNNNNNNNNNNNNNNNNNNNAGUUCUAAUUCUAGUACAGGUUCUGAUUUGAACCUCACACCUUUAAAAUAAGAACAAAGAAGAACACUUUGGAAUCGAACAUAGAAUCUCAUCUAAAACUUGAAUUAAAUUCUAAUUUUAAGCUAAUUAACCAUUUAUUAUGAAUAAUAAUAGUAUCUAGCAUGUUUAACAACAAUUAUGGAUUAAAAAUAACAUGAUUCUAUGUGAUAUUAAUCAUGUAAAGAAUAUAUACAUGAUUCGAUUCUGGAUUCCGUUUUGGAUUCUGUUCUGGAUUCUAUAAUAUUUUAUAUUAAUAAUUUGGAUAGAUUUGGAUGUUAGAUUUUAUAUAUUAAGUUUAGUUAGUGCUUAACUAUGUAACUAUAAUCAUAACAAAUCAUUUUUUAUGAAAGAAAAAGUGUUAUGAUAGUAUUCUGUGUUGUUCUUUUUUUAAAGUGUUCUGUGUGGAGUGCAACCCUAUAUAUAUAUAUAUUUUUUCACAAAGAAUGAUUUGUUAAGAUUAUAAUUAUAUAGUUAAACACCAUUUAAACUUAAUAUAUGAAAUAUAACAUCCAAAUCCAUCCACAUUAUUACUAUGAAAUAUUAUAGAAUCCAGAACAGAAUCCAAGAUAGAAUCCAGAAUGGAAUCAUAUAUAUAUUUUUUGCACGAAUAAUUUUACAUAGAAUCAUGUUAUUUUUAACCCAAAUUUAUUGUUAAACAUGACAGAUUCUAUUAUUAUUCAUAAUAACAAGUUAAUCAACUUCAAAUUUGAAAGUAAUUUAAGCUUUAGAUGAGAUUCUAUAUUUGAUUCUAAAGUGUUCUGUGUUGUUCUUCUUUUAAGAGUGUUCUUUUUUGAGCAAUGCCCUAUAUAUAUAUAUAUAUCGAUUCCGAAAAUGAGGUCGAAAAUGACAUUUGAAAACUGGAACUUGAAAUCAGGAAUUCAGCUGCAUAUGAAGUUGCAAAAGAGGUUGCAACACGGCUGGCGCCGCCUGUAGUUGCAAAUGAGGUUGCAAAAGUUGCAAACAGUAUUUUUGAAAAAAAAAUUAUGAAAAGGUAUUUUUAAAAAUAAUUCUGGAAGGUAGUAUUUUUGAAAACAAUAAAAGAAAAGGUAGGUAGUUUUGUAGAUUUCCCAUUAUUAUUCAGGACGACCAGAGCGCAAUUAUAUCAUAACUUCAUUUUCCACUUAUAUAAUAAUAAUAAUAAUAAUAAUAAUAAUAAUAAUAAUAACAACAACAACUAACAAUAAUAAUAAUAAUAAUAAUAAUAAUAAUAAUAAUAAUAAUAAUAAUAAUAAUAAUAAUAAUAAUAAUAAUAAUAAUAUAGUAUAGUCUAGUAUAAANNNAUAUAUAUAUAUAUAUAUAAAGUUUAUCAGGAUACUGAUUAUUAUACAUAGAAAAUAUAUUUGUAUAUCUAUUGUUUAUAAUUCAUAUUUUAAUAUUUUAACUUUAAUAUUUUAAUUUAAAAUAUGGCAUAUUAAAUACUAAUUUUAUAUAUUAUAAUAUUUAAUAAGUUUAACAAUUGAAAUUCGAACAUCAUUUAAUAAGAUAAUAUUAAUUAAUAUCAAUUUCAGCGAUAAACAUAAACAUUUAACAAUCGCAACACGACAAUAAGUGAGGAGUGAUAGUCAUAUAAUCUGAUUUUACCAAAUGUGUCUAAUUUUUUCUUAAAUGUUAAUAUAUAGUAAUUAAUUGAUGUAUUUUGGAUAAUACUGAUAUAGUAUUAUAAUCUCACAUGGAUUACUAUAUAAAUUGAUUGAAUAUUAUAAAUUUAAAUUUUCAAGGUUAUGUCCUAAGAAAACCGAAUGUGAUAAGAAAUUCUCUGGCUGGUCCAGAUUUUUAUUUUUGAAAUUUUUUUGUUCGGUCAUAAUAUUUGGAUUUGGAUUUUGUCAUGUUCAAUCUGACCUUACUCUCCAUCAAUAAAUUUUAUUAAUCUAUGAGGGCUACUACUUCAAUAUUUAUUAUAUUAAAUUUGAAUAUAUUUAUAUACUACUAUAUCAUAAAUUGAAUAAUUUUUAGAAUAAUUAAGAUAAAAUUUUAAAACAAAAACAUAAAUUUUAAGAAUCUAAAAUACAAAUUAAAAUUAAAAUUAGUUACAAAUAUAGUGGAACCUGUGAAAAAUAUAUUCAUAUUACUAAAAGUAUUAUUUGAAAGAUGUUUUAUUAUAAUGUCUAUACAUUGAAUCUCAUACCUCCAAUUAUUUCAAAUCUGGGGACAAAUCAAUAUUAUCAAAACAUGUAACGAUAAAUUUUAAUUCUUGUUGAGAAGUUUGAUCAUAGAAAGAGGAUUAUAGAAAGUAAAUUGAAUAGGUCUUGGCUUUUGAUGAUCAAUUGUGUAUCAUUUUUAGCGUUAAUAUGCUAGCGACAACCUUUUGUAACGAGAGAAAGACCGUGAUAAAUUGCAGUAGAUAUUAGAUGGCGAGGAUCAUCUCUUAACUCUAAAAAAAACACCUUGUGUGAAAUUUAUUUAUUUAUUUGUUUAUUUUACGUGAAAACCGAUAGCCGUUAUCAUUCGGCUGUGCUGGGUAAACCACGAGCUCCCGUAGUAGCCUAUAAACUACGUGAAUCAGAUAAACCGCAAUUUAGAAACAGGUUCUGAUGCAGCAGGUAGAAUCACAAAUUUUGCUUCUUUUAGGAGUCGAACGUCCCCUCUUUUAACCGGCCAUCACUUUGUGUGAAAUUUACUCCCUCUUCUUUGAAAUAUAGAUUUUUUUAACUUUUUAAGUACUUUUAAAUCUUUAAGCUCAUAGAUAAAAUCAUUAUUUUUAAAUGAAAUUAUAUGACUAAUAUUACAAUUCAGAUUUUUUUUAAAACAAUGAUUCUAACUAUACAGUCAAAAGACUUAGAAAUAUGUGCCAAAAUAUCAAAUGACCUAUAUUUUAAAACGGAGAGAAUAUAUCUUUUACUACUUGUGAUGCUAAACAAUUGGAAUUUAUAUAUCCAUGUUUUAACUUUUACAUUUUACACUAUCCUGUGAGGGUCUUAUAAUGUUCAUAAGAGAAUAUAUCGAAAAAUUUUCCUUUCAAAUAAAUUUUAAAUUAAAUAAUAUGUUCAAAAUUUUUACCAUGACAUGAUCAUAUUAGUUUAAUAAAAUAAAAUAAGAAUCAAAUAUCAUAUUUUUAUUAUAAUAUUAAAAAUUUAAAACUACACACUUCAUAGGGUUGUAAAAAGCGGGACUCGCACGAAUACAUGUUCAAAAAUUAAUUAAAUAAUUGAAAAUUAAUUAUUUGUCCGAGGACUAAAAUGAUAACCGAGGAUUAAUCGAAAUGAGCAGUCAUGCAAAUUAUCGGAAUCAACUUAAUAUUGUUUAAAAUUAUUUAUCAUCAUUUUAUAUACAUUAUAAAUUAAGAUACUUAUAAAAUUAUUAUAUGCAUAACGAAAUUCAUUAACAAUAUAUCAUAACAAAUUUCACUAAUAAUAUAUUGUCUAUUUUUAAGCUAUGCGGCAACUAUAAUCAACACCUCUACAUUAUAUACAUAACACAUAAAUUAUAUAUAUUAUCUAUAGUUAAAUUAUACUCAUACAAGAUUGAUAAUCCAUAUUUCAGUUUUAAACACUCUAUUUUUAGUAUUUUUUCAUUUUUCAAACUUCUAUUAUUUUAUUUUACUUUUUUAAGAUUAACCGGUUUUCAAUUACACGGGUUUUUGAGUGAUCUUUUAUCCAUUAAUCCAGGUUAAUAGUCUGAACUUUGACAGGAAACGAAUAAAUGACAGUUGAACUAUUAUGUUUGUUUUAAACAGAUUUUUUUAUUGUGUGUUCAUGAGCACACACUAACAAUUUUUAUGGAAGUUAAAGGUUUUUAUUGACCAAAAAAUCAUUAAUAAUCAUGAUCCAUGCAUAUGCACAAAAAUCAUUACAAAGUAAAACCCUCGGUCUCAAUAAAAAUAGUUGUCAGUGUACCCGAAUAAUGUCAAAUAUCGUAAAGAAAUAAGCGGAACACAUACACAGCACAGCGGCAUAGAGAAGUUUCCAAGUACAUGGACUCAGUGCUCACAGGAAGCAGUUAACUUGUACACAUUCCACGAUGAAAAAGUGUGGUCGAUCAGAAUAAAGCAACACUCCAUUGAAAAGGGCUGCCGAUCAACAUCCGGGUUGUAAAUACUUUCUUAAAAAUCUCUGGUAAGAGAAUUUCUCUCUUUUCCUUCUUCACUUGUUAGUUGUUUCUUACAUGCAUACAAUUGUGCAUAUUAUUUAAGUCGUAUAAGACAUGACAUAGGAGUUGUUUAUAUAUAGUUCAUAAUGAACUGGGGUUUGGGUAUAUUUUGUCCCCCAUUUUAUCACGUCAAAGAUUCGGUCAUACCUGUGACCUAAUUCCGUUUAGUAUCCAGAUCUAUAGUAUUUGGAAGAUCUACAAGAUUUGGCUAAAUAAAAAUGUUUAAAUUUAAUUUUGAGAAAUGAGACAUAUAGCUAUUUUUAAUUGGGUGAUUGAUGUUCAUACAGGAGGUCCCAUGAUUACUAGUGUGAGGGGAACCGAUCGUAUAUUGCCACUUGGAUUUGAGAAAAAAAAAACAGGAACAUUUUUUGGGUACCUAAAAAUUUUCUUUAAGGUAAUGUCUUUUUAACUUUUUGAAAUUUUUUAUAAGCUGUCAAAUAUUUUGUGAUGAUAUCAUUAUAUAUGAGAUAUGGGUCGGGGGUUGAUGUAACAUAUUACCAAUGAUUUUUUCAUCUGUAAUAUAUGAUUUGCAAAAAGAAUUAGAAUUUUUUUAAAGUACAAAAAAAUGACGAUUUUCAUAUUUUUUCAAGAGACUAUAAUAUUUAACUUGUUUUUUUUGGGGCCCUUCUAAAAUUUUAAGGCCUCAAGCAGUUGUUUAACUGGCUUAGUGGUAGGAUCGACCUGGGUCCAUAGGCUGUUGCCAGUGUUGAUACUUGAUGGACUGGUUAGUGUUUGCUGCUAAGAGGACAAUCUAUGGGACACGAGCUCUUAACCAAAGCCCAUAGCCAACCCCCUACCUGAUAUAGGCAAGCCAGAGAACAACCCUAAGCUUCUCCACAGAUUUAGUGCUAUGUGUACUAUAUUCUCUCCAUUAUAAUUAUAGUUUAAGUGCCCUGUUCUCUUUUCAGCUACAAUUUGGAAGGCCAAAUUAGGUUUCACUUUGGUAUUGUUAAACUGUUAUACGACAAAUAUUGUUGGCUAAGUAACAUAUGUUGGAAUAAUAAACAUUUGAAUCAAAGGGCCUGUUUGUAUAUUUUGCUUCAUAUGUUAUUAUUACUUUUUUAUUGAUUAUCUAAUUUGUUAAAUGAAGUUUGUAAUUCAUUUUUUUUUAAAAAGUUAUUAGAAGUAGUUGUAUUGUGUGUGUUAGUGGUUAUACCGCAUAGGUAGUAGUAAUAUAGAGGGUAAUAGUACUUAGGUCUAUACAAAGUUGUAUAUUUUAUUUUUGAUAUAUUUCUCUGAAUUUAUUUUUUUGCUUUAUCUGUCUGAUCCACUUAUAUCGACAAGAGUAUGCUGCAUUUUGGUAUUUUGCUCCAGAUAUUAAUAAAGUAGAUGAUUAUUAUUGCCAUCUCUCCAACCAUAUGUAGUCUGACUACAUUAGCUUAAGUAGUAACUGUUCAUGAAUUAGAUUGCGCUAUAUCUAGUGUUGAGAGUUCAAUUUUUUUUUUUGUUACUGAAAUGAGGUUGCUUUUCUUUAUCAUCCUUGUAUAUUUGCACAUUCUAUAAAUUAUAUGCCACAGCAAAAGCUAUCUAACUAAUGUUGUUCUAGUAUAGUAUGCGUCUAACUUGUGCAACUAACAAUUAGAGCAUUAGUCCGGCUCAGUGUUUUAAAGGCAAAAAGCGCAAAGCGAAGCGUGGGUUUUUGGAAACAAAGCGCACUAUAUUAAUUGAUAAAAUUUUUUAUAAUUAAGAUAAUCGAACAUGCUAAUUAUUAUUUAUCAACUCAAAAGAAAUAAGUAGGCCCAUGUGUCAUGGUACUAAAAUAUAUUUAGAAGUGGAUAGUAUGCAUUGGCCACUCCUGAAUGCAAAUGUGUGCAUUGAAGAUUUUUAGCUCUUUGGGAAGUCUUGUACUGGUGCUUUGUUCAGGAAUUGUGGAGUAUAACUGAGGCAGCUGGGUUUUUUGGAGUGUAUGUGAGACUAAAAGCGGAGUAAGUAUAAUGUACUGGGCUUUUAAACAAGCCCUAUAAAUUAAAAUAUUGACCUAACUUUUGAAAUUAUGUCCAGUUCUAAUAAAAACAACUAUUUAGGCAUUUACACAGAAGUGCGCUUUUUGUACCUUUUUUUGUGCUUUGGGCUUCAGCAAUAAGCGCACGCAAACAUACAAAUACUCAGAUUGAGUCAGUUCGUAUAUUGUUACGAGUCUACUACCAAUCUAACUGGGGAUUUAUGUUAAUGUUACUAUGUUUGCCUGUUUUGUCAGUCCAAGUCUUGAUGGGCUUUGCUGCACUUCAUUCUAACAGUCCUCUACCUUUUUAGAUGUUAAAACUGACACAAGUGAAUUGGAGAAAACAAUAGAGGGUGGACUGGGUAAAGGAACUUGAAGUAUAUUUCAUGAUAUUAAGAAGAACUUAAAAUUUUGAAAGAGAAGCCAAAUGUGAGGACUGGAGCCAUGAGGAGGAUUGUUUUUAGGUUGGUUUCCUAGCCUCAGAUUGGUCUUGUAGUUGUCAGCAUCUACAUACCCCUUUUCUUUAGUCUCAAUAUAUGCGGCACCACCUACCAGUGUAGCUCUCUGAGGGUCUCUAAAAAGAUUGGUAUAAAUAAUAUUAAUAUGAUUUAAAUAACUUUUUAUAGGCUUUGAUUCCCAACCUUAUAUUUAAGGGGAUCUGUGAUUCUGCUCCAUAAGGGCCUUGUAGGAAUUCAUGAAGGCAAAACAAAACACAGAGAAGUACUCUAGUUUUUAACUAAACUAACACUCCCCGAUUAGUACACCUCGGACUAGCUGUGUCAUCUUAAAGAGGAAAUAUAACACAGUAAAGUGAAAUGACCUUGUUACUUUUUUGCACUGUAGUUUCUGACAUGUAUUGCUUAAGACCUAUCGACGUAUGACAAAGAAACAUGUUUAUCUGAAAUUUUAUGUUCUUAAAUAAUUAUAGGAUGUAAAUGUUUUGAUUAUAGUUAGAAAUUUAGAUUGCACACCGUAAGUGAACAAAUAAAGGUAAUUUGCUUGAAUGGACGCACACAAAAGUUUAAAUCAGUGUAUGGUGUUCGAUGAUAUAGAUGACACACUGAUAGAGAAUUUAUGUAACUACCAAUUUAAUCAUGUAGACGACCCUUGAAUAUCGUAACAUCCAAUCCUGUAGAUGACAUGUAUGUUAAGUCAUUUUAUGUACUAACAAUUCAGAAGACAGAACGAAACAUGAUGUAUAUUUAUGUGCAGCCAUAUUCACCUCUCCCCAGGAUAUUAGAUAGUUUAGAAUAAAACAUGAUGUAGUUUAGAUAGUGAAAUUGUUUGGUCCUGUUGCAUGUUUAAUUUUGUCGCAGACCUUAUCUUUUUGAAACCUGAAAACUAUUAUCUUCCUAUAAGAUCAUGACAAGUCCCAUAUCGAAAGAAAAUAAGCAAAUUUUGUGUUUACUAAAAACUUGUAUGAGCUCAUAGAUCACGACCUUACUUGAACAGGAUCUGUUCUAUAGGCUCGUACCUCUGUAUCCUUGAUUUCUAAGGAGGCAGGUCACCAAGUCUGGUGGAUGAACAAUGACUGCUUGACCAGAGCGUGAUUAACAUCUCUUCCUGGUCUGUGCACCAUCAAGGGCCGUAGAGGAUCGUUCUCAGCCUGGUUUCCUGGGCUGGGUUGGUCUUGCAGUUGUCUGACAGACCCUAAUCUUUUUUACCCUUCCAUCUCAUUUUUUGGUCUGGUCUGUCAUGGUUUCCUGGAUAAUCUACCUAAGAGCAACUUAUGCAACUAGCGAGUAUUAAUUUUAGGGGUGGACUCCUCUUUCUUUAGUCUUUAGUCUACCCGACAUAUGAAGCUCAACAAGAACAAAAUUCUACAACCUGCAGAACUACUGAAUAAUCUAACAUUAAGAGCGACUUAUGCAACUACUGAGUAAUAAUUUUAGGGGUCAAAACUCUGAAAUUUCUUCCUGUUACUUCAGUUUAUCAUUAUUUGUUUUAUAUGAUGACCAGAACAUAUCUUCCUAGUACUUCUGUUUAUACCAUAGCAGCAUGGACCUAACCUUUCAUGCCUAGAGAAGAUCCUCAUUCCCUUUCUGUUCAAUUGAUCUUGGUCCCUACUCCAAAAGGUAGAAGAUUAUUAGCUCGCUAAGAACUGCAGGGUUUGUACCCAUUAGAACCAAUAUUAUAAUUGUUUUUGUAUAAUAGGGUGCUUAAAUUCUUUAGCUUAGCUUUUAGAACAUCGGUUUUCUCUUUCAGGGACAUCCAAUUGUAACGAUUCAAGUUUAGCACACCCUGUGCAAGGAUGACAUGCAUGAUUCACUCAAGAUUAACAUGCCCUGCGCAUGGAUGACACUGCACAAAUCCAGAGAUGUUCCAAUUUGUUUUACAAUUAAAAUCCAAAAUGGUCUGGUUCCUUUGGCUAGAAAAAGGAAAUAUACAGAAAACUGUUACAUUAAGCACAUAUGUACAGGCACCACCACCAUAUAAACCACCGGAUGUUUCUGCCCACGACUUUGGGUAAAAAGAGGCCUUAGCUCACAGACACAAUGCUUCAGAACUAAAGGAUGAAUGAGAAUCAGAAGUGCCACAGUAUGCGGUGCAGUACAGUAAGUAUAACUGUAUAACAAACAACAAUUUCUUGCUUGUACUGAUCGGGCUAAUAAUGUGCUUGUUUAAAUAUAUUUUACAGAUUCUGAUAAAAUCUUAUCAUUAGUUGCCUGGAAGCACGAUUUGUUUUUGGUGUUUUAACUGUUUGAAGAGACUUUUUAGUAAUUAAUGCCAUGAGAGUGUAAAAAAAAUUUGGACCAUUUCUCGAUUUGUGCGUGUCAUCCUUGCGCAGGGGCCAUGCUAAUCUUCUCUGUAUCGUUCCAAUUUUAUCGGAUGUCCCCGAAGGGACAAGCAAUGAUCUGCAAGCAUGAAAAUAUAACCACUUCAUUUCCUUGUAGUUUGCCUAUGUGGGAUUCGAGUGUGAGACUUGAAUUGAAUCUUUAAUUAUGGGGGAGUUUGUCUAUGACUUAUUUCGAGAUAAAUUUUCAUAUUUACAUGUUAUUUUUUUAUAGUUAAAUAUUUAGAGGACGUUGAGCCCUAUAUAACCUCGGUGAAGGAUCCAUUAAUAAAUAGGGCACUACAAGCAUAUUUGAUGAUUGCCAAGAACUUUAAUUUGAAUAUAGAAGCCAAAUUUGAUGACCAGAUUGUGAUUAAAUGUUUAUUUUUGGUCUGUAUGUAGUGCCUUUGAGAAUCGUUCUCAGCUUGGAUUCCUGGCUGAGGUUGGUUUUGCAUCUGCACGCCCAAAUAUUUUUAGCAUGCAGCAGUUGCCUACUAAGCUUACCUAUCCAAGGGUCACAGGUAAAUAGGUAUCAAUAAUAUUAGUAUGUGUGAAUAACUUUUCUAGGCUUCACAACCUCAUUUUAAGGGGAUCAGUAAUAUUGAUGUAUAGUCCCUUGUGGGAACUCUUGAUGGGGCACGGGAGUACCAAGAACCAAGGAAAGUUGAGAGGGAUUUGUGAAGUAGUAAUUAACUAGAUUCUUAGUCUUGUAUCUGUACCUCAGACUAGCUGUGUCAUCUUUGAGUGAAAAAAUAACACGAUAAAGUGCUAUGAUCUUUUUUUUGCUAACUGCUGCCGCUAGCUUUAGUCAUUAAAACAAAAUAAUGUAUCAAUUAUAUAAACUGUGGUUCUCUGGGUUAUGCUUUAAACUUUUGUUGCCUAAAUAUAUGCCUAGUGUUUCUUAAUUUUUCUUCUUUCCUAACAAAACACUGCAGUUUCUUACUGAUUUUGACUGUCAAAAAAAUUUGGACCGAAAAAAUAUGGUUAGGUUUGUAAAAAAAAUUUGGACCAUUUCUCGAUUUGUGCGUGUCAUCCUUGCGCAGGGGCCAUGCUAAUCUUCUCUGUAUCGUUCCAAUUUUAUCGGAUGUCCCCGAAGGGACAAAAGGAUGUCAGGCAGCCAUGAAAUAUAAGCAUGAUGUUUUUUAGAUAUGUAUCUAUGUGGGAUAUUUAGGUGUAAGACUUGAAUGUUCUAUGUAACCUUUCCAGGCUCCAGCGGACUUUUAGUUGCCAGCUUUUGAAAUCUUGUUGAAACUGCUGAUAAUAGAUCCCAAGUUUUUUCACAGUACACAUACAUGCUUAGUAAACAAAGGAAAAAGUUCUCUGAACAUAGGGUAAAACUAUGUCACCUCUAACCUUUUUACUCGGUAAACAGAAGUCUGGAAUGAAGUCUUAAAUUAUUAGGUGCUUCUCCUCAUUGUAUAUUGAUAUUCAUACGUAAUUUAAUUGUGUUCCGCGGAUAUUGGCUGACAAAAUGAACAAUCUUGAGCAAUAUUGCAUUGUAAUCUCAAAAAUCAUUUAUUUGGCAGAGGGAUGUGCACCAGAAGCGGCAUCCCUACCAUCCAAAGUUGUUCCAAAGUGAUGCAAUUUAAGAAUGUCAAGAAGUUACCAUCCAAAACAUUAUGCACAUCUCUUUCUUUCUCUUCUGUUAAAUUUCUUUCAUGAGUGCAUUUUCAAAUAAUUGUAAUUGAUUUUCCUAGGAAUUUUAAAUAGUUAUUAUAUUAAGUUUUUAAUUUCUCUGCCCUUUUGUAUUGCAAAGUUGUCAUAUUUGUUAAUGUAGUUUUUGCAUUUUAGCAGAAUUGCGGCAAGAUCUCCACAGGCUCAGGUCUUCUGCAACUGUGUUCUUGAAGGUUAAUUCUUUUUUCUUAAACCAUGAUAAUUGUAAUUUUUGUUUGUAAUUUUAGUGCCUCUAACUUGCUGGUCGGUUGGUUUGAAUUAAUUCGAAAGCCAAAGAACUUCAUUGUACUUCUUUCUUCAACUAAAAAAUAAUAAUUCUAUAUUGUUUUUUAAACACAGGGAUGCUUUUCUCGAGAACCUUGGUUGAAUAUAAUAUAGUAGCAUACUGCACAAGACUACAAGUUGGAUGUCCAAUAUUCCAACCUAGCAUAGUUGGUCCGUUAUUACCAAGAUUUACUUGAAACAAACCAAUUACUGAACUUAUGUGGGCGGUUUUAUUGAACAUACCAAGUUUUACUUAGUUAUUAUCACAGAAAUAUAAAUUUAUAAAGACAGGCAUUGAUCUCUCCAGAAAGAAGACAAUGGGCUUCUCAAGCUGGCUUUAUACCAACAGCACAAAACAGGUACUGAAGAUUGUUCAUCCUGGUGGCCAUGCAGAGCUUCACGAUAGGCCGGUCCUGGCUGCUGAGAUAAUUAACCGGAAUCCAAGAUGCUGUGUUGCACAUCCCAAUAUUUUCCAACAACCUUGGGCCAUUGUUGCACCAGACACUACGUUGAUGCCUGGUCAGAAAUUCUACGUGGUGCCAGUAAGUACCAUAAGACGGCUUCAAAAAUUGUCUUUGAAGUAUAAUACUUCUCAUAAUCAAGAUGUUAAUCAAAAUAAUAAUGGUUUAACUGGAGAAGUUGAUAGCUUCCGCACUACUUGUUGGAAGUUCAAGCCCUCGAAUACUUCAAACGGGGUAACAUCAGAUGAUAGUUACUGUGCAUGUUUGAGAAGUGGGAAAAAGUUAAAAGGAAACAACAAUGAAGAAUCCAGCAAGGAGAAACUGGCAAGCAACUUAACUUUUUCAGAGUCAGAGACGAGGAGCAACGAUAAUAGUACGAGGGGAGGAGGACAACAUCCCAAGAGACUUAUUGCUCUUGAUAACUGGCAUCCGGGACUAGAGAGCAUUGGUGAAGAAAUAGCUCCUGCUUAAUUCACCGGCUUCUGAAUAUAAAUAUUUAUGUUUGAACACAUGGCAUCUUACUUGGAAUAACAGGGAGAAAGGUCUAUUAUUUGAUUUUGUUUAUUGAUUCAUAUAUUGUUAUCAGAUUGUAAGUUUAGGUCAGUAGUACCUUCACCUAUCACUAUUCUUAGGAUUGGCAUGUCCAAGACUUGUUUAAUAUGAUUUAGAGUUUUUUCUUUUGCUUUGGGGAGCACAUGAUUUGAUGCCUCGAAGAGGAUUUAAGUGGUCUACAAGUAUCUAUAUAUGAGCCGAGCUGUUUAUUCUUUUAACUUGGAAAAUUAAGUGUCUUGGCUCAAAUAAAGCUCAUUCUUAGAGUCCUUUUAUAAAGUUAAGAGCUUUCCUCUCUUUUAGCUUUAGGAGCUCCGCAUGACUUAAAACUUAUUUUUUAUGAUAAAAAAUUCGUUCUCUUUUACUCAUCCAUCACUUUUUCCUCUCUCUAAAAUGUGUACCAUCUUUCUAAGCGGCAUAUAUUUUUAUAUUAUACUUGAGAGCAAUUAGAAGACUUUUGGAGAUGUCUUACGGCUUUUUUUGUUAUAUCUCACUAUCUCAGCUCAUAUGUAAUUAUUUGCAAUUCACCGAAUAGAGAGCACUUCAUCGAUGCUCCUAGUUGAGAGCCUCUUGGUACUAUAAUCACCAGCAGUUUUGUUAUAACGUUGUAUUCCCUUUUUUUCAUCUCCCCAGUAUCAGUUAACUUCUCCUUCCUUUCCUUGGACGUUUGUUUGAUUAAACCGGCAGUAUCUUUCGAUCAUUGUCAUGAUCUUUUCGAUCUUAUUUUUCGCUGUUGCAUACUAGCCACUAUAUAUUUGAUCUUCAGUUAAAAUGGUCUGAAACCAUGCUCUUAAAUCUUAAUUUAGAUCCAUAGAUUACACGAUAAUGACAUAAUGUUCCUAUAGAAUUUGAAUUUCAUCGGAAUUAAAAAUUUAGAUGACCUGCAGAACAACCAAAUUUGGAAAACAAAUUAUUGUAAUUACAAGUGAACAAUGAAUUUUGUGAGGUACAGACGUACGGUCAUAAUCAAUGAAUAAAAUCAAUGCUAGCUGACAAUGUAUAUGAAAAGGAACUGAACCUUAAGGUGCAAACCAAAAAUACUUGAUCAAAUUUGGUGGGGUGAGCCAGGCCAACGCAGUAGUGCAACGCUUAGGCGACUCGCGAAGCCCCCAAUAGCAAGCUAUUGUGACGGGACCUCCCCCUCAAAAAAUAAAUUUAAUAUCGUGUGAGCCAAUGGCCCACAUAUCAGAUAUUAAACUGAUAAGAACAGAUACUACACUUGAUCUUAGCCAAAAGGCCGAGAAAGGUAUGCUUUUCAUCAAGGGCCAGCGUGGUUUAUAUAUACAACUGACAUCAGGAAUUAGUUUAUGGAUAUGAUGUGGGACAAAAACAGGUUACUUAGAUAACAAAACACACACCUUCCCUUUCGCUCUGCUGCAGCAGUGCACUUGAACGUUCAAGUGCAUCAUGAAACCAGCAUAAUAACAUGUUGUACAUCCACUGCCUAGCUAACAUCUAUCAGCUCAGAAAUUAACUUUUUAUCAACUGCACCUUCUGACCACAUAUAUAUUUCAACUCUUCAAGGCCAUAUAUGAUAAGUGUUCAAAGUAUUGGUAACUUCAAUACUCAUUUCUGUGUCUUGAUAUUUUAAGAUUUAUUUGUACAUAUCGUCUUAGUUGAUACAAGUGGACAAGGAGUCAUGUGGGGGUCAAUAUCCGGAUUAGAUCAACUCCUCUCUAUAUUUAUCACAGAAUAGGCGGCUUUGAAAUAAUCUUGUAUGUGCCUCUACAGACUGAAUGAACAGAUCACAUAUGCACAAGGUACUAAAGUAUUUAUUGUGUCUCACCAGAACAUAAGUAUGAAAAUCUUUAUUUAAUUUCAACUUCUUUUAAUAAGUUUGAAUUUAUGCAAUUGACUUGAUAUGCUUAAGAUUCAGCAUCUCCUUCUUCCAUAAAUAUCUCUGUAAAAAUAAAUCCUCAUAGAGAUCAGAGCCACUGAAAGUGGAAAUAUAUUAGGAAUGAACUCAAAUUCUUGUUAGUGAAGGUAACUCAUAUACAAUACAACCAAGAGAAUUGCUGAUGAGUAUGCAACUCCUGGUAUGAUAGCGUAAAAGCACUUGUUUCCCAGUUACAUGUUCCACUAUCUACCCCCAAAAAAAGAAACUAAAGCCUCUGUCAAUUACACUACCACAAUGCAGUAAUGUACUAAUGCAGUGUGAGAUCAUUCUUAAAUGAAGAACCAAAAAAAAAGUUAAGGGUCUGUCAGACAACUGCAUGACCACCCCAGCCGCACUGACCGGGAAGAGCUGUUAAUCACGCUCUGGUCAAGCAGUCUUUUGUCAUCCACCAGACUUGGUGACCUGCUUCCUUAGAAAUCAAGGAUGCAGAGGUACGAUCCUAUAGAACAGAUCCUGUUCAAGUAAGGUCGUGACAAGUAGUGUAUUACAACACCUUUAAAAGCAAACAAUGUUUGUCAGUUUAUCUCGAUGUGGUAUAGUUUUCUACUUGAUUUCCAGCCACAUAUAGAAUUCCCACAUCCUCGUUACAACACGAAAUGUAGCUUUUCCAUCUAAUUAAGAAUUUAUCAGAAUAAACAUGAUGUAGGAGAAACUUGAACUAGAAUUGUAGGGUUUGAUCCAAAAGGACAAACCCUCCAAAAAUAGGCGUAUGCCACUGUCAGUGACGAGCACACGGUAUUCUUUAGUAAAAGGCGAAAGAAUAGUUCGCUUUGUGCUCAUCACAUGGCUGCGUGCUCUAAUCACUGCGCAGACAGUUGUUUUUUAUAGACAUUUCGUAGUCAUGCUCUCCUUGUGUUCACAAUGUGGGAUAAGAAACCUGGCUACCUAUCAUCUAUGUGAAUGUAUCAACAGUUUGUGUUAAACAAUGGCAAGCAGUCCUAUUCUCCUCACUAUAAUAAAUUCUUUAAAUUUGUUCCGGCUUAUAUUAUGAGUUGUUUUCUGGUAGAGUAGAAUUUAUUAUGAGCCGGUUUCAGAUAGAGUAGAAUUUCUUUUUACAUUCUUAGCCAUUCUUUUCAUAGCCAAAUUUAUGGGUAGAAACAUCUGGUGGUGGUGCCUGGGCACAUGUGCUUAGUCUAAGUUCUUAUUUUCCUUUUUCCAAACAAAAGAACUAGACCGCUUUGGAUUAAGUGUGAAAAAAUAUUAAAGGAACAAAAAUUCGAUCAUUUCCUCUGUGUAGCCGUAGAUGGUGCACGUACCAGGGAUUGCUUCAAGCAGUCAUUUUUCAUCCACAAAACAAAGUGUCCUGCCUCCUCUGAGAUCAAGAACGCAGAAAUAGUUAACGCUCUAUAAUUCUCUUUGUUUUCCCAUUAGGACGAAAUCCUACUGUAUACUUCUUUUUGUACCCUGUAUGAUCUCCAUCUGUAUAGGUUGAUUUUUCCUAUUUCCAGGGCAGAGACCAAGUUUUGAGAUGCUAAAUAUCAUUAUGAGAAAAUUAUAGUACUUCAAAUUAGCCAAUGAUAUAUGGUACCUUAGUAUAUGUAUACUUGAAAAUCCAAAAGAACAUAUAUUGUAUGGCUGACAUGUUUUUAAGUCAUCCGAUCCGUUGGGAUCCUAGAUAACAAGGAAAUAACAGUAAAGCAGUAAUAUCAUUUGUCAAGUACCAAGAAAUCACUAAGGUCUAUGCUGAAUCACAGGUCAGGGAGGACAUACAUUUACCAAUUCUUCGACAUUCAAGGCUUGAUACCCGCAAAAAAAAAAUACCAAUAAUUGCCUAUAAAAUUUUUCAAGUGAAUGCAUGCAGAAACCAGUUUGAAGCAUACAUGACACAUUGCCACCGUGCACUAGAGCUAUGCUUUUUUUAUUUCAAACUGCACCGGUGAAGAUGAAGAUUAGAACUAUAUACCAGUUUUCACCAUUUUUCCAAGUUACGGUUCAUUUUAGAAAACUGGUAUUCCAGGUACAGAUUUGUUCUCUCAAAAUAUCUGUAGUUCAGUUAAAUUUGUUUAGGCAUCCUGCUGCAGUUAUUGAUUUGUAAUCAGCUGUAGUCUUGUAGACCGGUUAAACCUUAAACUAGACCUGUUCGGGUCGGUCCAAAAGGACAAAAGUCCAAAAAGACCGACCCUCCAAAAAUUAGCCACAAGUGACGAGAAAAAGUUUUCUUUAAGCAAAAAGAAAGAAGUUUGUAGGGCUUUACCCUGGGUUAGAGGGAGCCCUUCCAGAAAUUCUCGAUGGCACAAGGCAGAACCAAGGCCAAGGAGGGGGUUUGGAAAUAGUUUUCAACCAGCAAUUGACGCGCCUCGGUUAGUACCUCACUAGCUGCGUCAUUGCCCCAAGCGCAAAGAUACAUUCUUCAAAGACCUUGUUCCUCUUUUAAGCUGAUGUUUUUCACACGUUUCGUGCAACAACGCGAUGUGGUACAUAUGACUGUCUCAUUUAAAUUCAGAAGACUUCAGGUAUUUUCUUGAGUGAUAGAUGCGAAAUGGAUAUUGCUCUCAAGAGUCCAACAGGAAAGAAUACUGUGAUAAUAUUUUGAUUGUUUUCGUCAUGUCAAAGUGGUUUAAAAUAAACUUCAAAAAAAUGCAAAAUCCUUUUACAAUUACAACCCUAUAAAACGUGAAUUUUUCUUACGCUUACAUCAAUAAACAAUAUAAAAAAUUAAAUACACUUGUCAAGACAAAAACUCUAUUAUUAUCCUUUCAAAUGUAAUUCAUAUAAAUAAAAAGUAAAAUUACUAUCAUUAACAUAUAUUAAUAUUAAUAUGAAACAAUAUUUAAGAUGAAUAUAUACUCCCUCCGUCCCAGCCAUUUGUAUACAAAUGGUUGGAACACUGAGACAAAGAAAAAAAAUGUAAAAAAUGAGUAAAGUUAGAUGAAAAGGAGGUAUAGUGUUGGGAUCCACUUAUAUUUAAUACUCCCUCCAUUUUAAUUUACAUGUCCACUUCUAAUAAAAAAUUUUGUUUCAAAUUACAUGUCCACUUCAACUUUCAAUGCAAAAUCAUAUUUCCAAAGUUAAUUCUACUCCACAUAUCUCUUAUUUAUAUUUCCUACAUCAAUCUCACUCCACAUAUUUUGAUCAUUUAAUGCAAUUAAUUUGUGA